rnacentral:lncRNA from 1 species
UUGCUCGUGGUUCCAUUGCUCGCUCACCGCUCGUGGUGCCACUGUUUGUUCACGCUCAUGGCGUCACCGUUUGCUCAUGCUCGUGGCGUCACCGUUCGCUCAUGCUCGCGGCGUCAUCGUUUGCUCCUGCUCGCAGCGCCACUGUUCACUCACUGUGUCAUCAUUUGCUCUGAUCGCUUUUUUUUUGUAGGGCGAUAGUUUUGAAAAGCCAGAUUGCCUAUCUUCUCUUUAAUCUCAGGCGAAAUACGAUCGGGGGGUGCCAAUUCNNNNNNNNNNNNNNNNNNNNNNNNNNNNNNNNNNNUAAGGAAUUCGAACAACUGCUUCAAAUACAGUAUCAGGAAGUACCGCUUGUGGAACCUCAAUAUCCACGGGCUUAUUAGCUAAAUGGCAAUUGGCACAGACAAUACGACCGGUUGCUUCUCGGGGAUUUUCAUAAGUCUCUGAGAUUUCUUUAGUCUUUUUCAGGUUUCAAAAAGAUGAAUUUUUUUUUGUUCGUCAACUGCGCAGAGGAAGGGAUUUAGGGAAGUUUUGAACUUUGUCAGCUACAGAAAGGGGACUUAGGGCAUUUGUGAGUUUAUUUUUGUCAGCUGGUACAGGAAGGGGUUUUAUUUUCACGUGGUGUGCAGCUGUAAAAAAGGUAAUAUAUAUAUAUAUAUAUAUAUAUAUAUAUAUAUAUAUAUAUAUAUAUAUAUUAUAGGUUUCUAAUUAAUUAGGAUUUUUAAUUAAGAAUUUGAAAUUAAUUUUAAUUAUUUAAUAAAUGUAUAAUGUUGUAACGUAAUUAGAAACUAAAAUUAAGAAUAAUUUAAAGUAUGUGUAGAAAUAAAUCAAAUUUAAUUAAUAGUAGUCUAAAUUAUCUUAUUUAUUAAAAAAAUAGAAAUAAAAAUAAUUUAACUUUUUUGUUUAAUUAUUUUAUUGUAAUAUUUGAAUUAAUAUGUUAUUUAUAAUUUUUUAUAAAAAAGUAAACUCUUACGAGUUUACGAUUCAAGUGUACGAGUCGAGUUUACGAAGCUCUCACGAGUUUACGUAAACUCUCGAGUUUGACAACCUUGGGCUCAUCCACUGUUAGGGAGUUUUCCAAAACGUUUCGAGGCUUAUGUGAUCAACUCAGCCUUAUGGGUAGACCAGUGGAUGAUUUAGAUAAAUUACACUGGUUUUUUACGGGGUUUAGGUCCCACUUUCACUAGCUUUGGUGCAUCUCAAUUAGCCAUGCGACCACUGUCUGUUUCUCAUGAUCUUCUUUAUGCUACCGAGAGUUUUGAAAUGUAUUUACAUGCUGCUUUUAAUACCACUACUCAACGUUCCUCUCAAUCAUCCAAUACACGUUUUCAAUUUGGGUCGCGUUCAUCCUCAAAUGGCAAAACAGGUUGUGGUGGUCGCGGCAGAGGACGUCGUCCUAUCCAUUGCCAAAUCUGCCGAAUAGAAGGUCAUUAUGCCACAUCUUGCCAUCAACGAUACGCGCUAAACAUAUUGAUAUUGAUUAUCACUUUGUUUGAGAGCUUGUUCUAUCUAACAAACUCAUCACUCAAUUCAUUCUUUCUGAUCUCCAGCUAGCAAACAUAUUUACUAAAAGUCUGCCUCGACCAUUGUUUCAGUUCUUCAGAGUCAAGCUUCACGUUGGACCAAAUCUCACGCUUUGCAUGAAGGGAUGAUAGGAAAUAAUAUAUUUGAUUAUAGUUUACCUUAUUUAGUUUCUACAUAAUUGAUUUUGUCUUAAAUAAUUGAUAUAUUUUUUCCUUAUUAUUGUACCUUAAUUAUUGUACGAUGGUUAUGUACAUUCUAUAUAUUGUAUGCUGGUUACUCUUUCAAGAUCAAUAAAACACCUUUGUUACAAUCCUUACAUCAACCAUUCUAUUAGGGUUGUACUUUCUGCACUCCGAUACUUUCUAAUUGCUCCCCCAUCCAUACAAAAAAGUGUCGAUCCAAAGUUGUUCAAACUUACUUGGCCAUCCGGACUCAAUCUUUACACGAUCUAUUUUAUCAUAUGAUGCUGUGCAUAAAUUUACAAGGUCUUAUUCAUUUACUAAGGAGGAAAUUAAACAAAUAUUUCCUCGGUGCUUUGGUGGAUGUUGCAUGCUUUCACAUUUCUGGUUAAAAUGAAGAAGAAGAAAUGACUAAAAUCUUGUAAAAAGAUAAGAUAUAAUGUUGGGUCUACUAGCCCAAUCAUGAUUUUCCUAUCCCCAGAGGGAAAAAUCCUUUCCUUUUUUGGCCGGUUGUGGGCGAGGAGGGAUUGGAACCCUAACACCGUGGUUCGUAGCCACGUGCUCUAAUCCUCUGAGCUACAGGCCCCACCCCGUCAUCUCCACUGGAUAUUUGUUCCCCGGAGUAUCCUAAAAAAUGGGAACCUUUCCUCUCCCCAGCCGGAGAGGAAAAUGAAAAAAUGACUAUAAACCAAAAAACUCUUAUGAGUGUAGGAAACAUUCAUCCCUGCACUUGUCACACUUUUUGUAUCUAUCAAAAACUUUUGUUGUAUAAAGUUCUCUUCCUCUUGCAUCCAUGUGUUUUGUAGAGGCAAAGACCAAAACAAACUCCUCAAUGCCACCUUGAAGUAAUAAGUGGCAUGCAUGCAGUUGAAGAUUGAAACAUUUAACAAGAAAAAUGUCAAAGGUUUUCUGCAAAAUAACAUUUAAUGUAGUUUACUCCAUAAAUUACAAAAACAAUGUAGUUGACUUCAGAUUUACAAUCAGUUGUAUAGAAAUUACAAUCGUCAUGAGUGAGAUGACUUUCUUAUAAAAUUUUGAAAAUGUGAUGUCGUCUAAACUAACGAUGACUUCUUUCUGAACAUGUUUAACGAAAGUUGUUAGUAAUGAUGAUAACUUCAAUUGAACGAAAAUCGUCCUCACUCAUGAUUACUUUCAUUUUAAAACUGAGAUUUCUUAUAGAGCUUACUAAGUUUUUCCUUAGUUGUCGAGCUAUCCACCAUGCUCUUCACCCACAUCUACACCGAACUCUUUUCAUGCUCCUUUGAUGUAUGUGAGUUGUCUAAUCACCUCUCCACCUUACUUAAUUGUCUUGUUAGAUUUAUCAUACAACUCGAUUGACUAAUCCAAAAUAUACUGCCAAAUUUAAAAAAAUAUUCUAGAUUUUUUAGUCAAGAACUAAUUUAUAGAUAAACCAAUCUCAAUCUAAAAUAUUUUCUCUCCAAUUUUAAGACUAUAUUUCAGAUUAACUAAUUCAAAAAUCACUCUAUUGGUAGUUAUGUAAAUAGGAUGAAAAUGAAAUUGGUGAUAGAUGAGAAAAAUGAUGGAAAUGACUAUGUGGAGGUCAAUAGGAAGGUUCGUAUAAAGAAGGAGGAAAGAAAUUUAAGAUUUUUAAUGUAUUUUAUUCAAGAAUAAAAUAGAGAUAAUAUAUUUGACAGGAGUACAUAAAUAAAUAAUGGUUUGAAGGGUCCACAGAAAAGUUAUCAAUCGAACUUGAGUGUUUUCUUUUCUAUGAUAUUAAGAAUUAUGAACAAACAAUUUUUUAGUACUUGGUUUAAACAAGAAUGAUACCGUGAAUAAUUUUUUGUUUAAUUCGAUACCUGUAGAUAUUGAUAUAAACUAUUCACUUGUUGUCUAUAAUAAAUUAUAUAUAUAUAUAUAUAAAUAAAUAAAAAACACGAUGUUUUUCAUGGAAAAUGUUAUUUCAAAUAAAAAUCAGAAGGAUGAAAUUGGAAUUCCAAAUGUUUUUAAGGUGCAGGUAGGACUUGGAGGGUGCGGGAAGAUCUACCCUUCAUUGGACUAUUGAAUUUGAGAUGGGCUUUCAUUAGAUUCUUUUUUUUUAUAUAUAAACAAAACUCUAUUUUGUUUUGUUUGGUUUGAUUGAAGUUUCCCCUUUUUCUUCCUUUUUAUCUAUUUUGUCCUUAUAUUUUAAGGAAUAGAUUAGAAACGUGCUUAGAAUAAGGAAAGAAAAAGGUUUAAGCAUAGAAUAAUAUAUAUAUAUAUAUAUAUAUAUAUAUGAAAAAGUGUGGAUUCAAAGUUGUUCAAACUCGCCUAACUAUCCACUCUCAGUCUUUACACGUUUCUAUUUUAUCAUGGUAUGCAUAAAAUUUAUAAGUUGAAGUCUUAUUCAUUUACUUAAUAAAUUAAACAGAUACUUUUUCCCAUAAUUAUAAAACUUUAUCCUAACUUUCCACUUAUUUUAAAAAUAAUGUCUGAUUUUAAUUAUUCAUUAUGACCGUUAGAUAAAAUUUGAACUUAUUAAGUAAAGAAAGUUUUAUUUUAAACAUAGUUAUUUAUUAAUUACAUUUAUGAAUAUUAAAUAUACUUAACGUCGUAAAUAACAAGAAAUAAUAAAUUAACAACUCGGUCUUAACAUUUUAUAAGAUUAACUCAUUGGUAGAGUCGCGUCAUUUAUUCCUAUUUGCAUCUAAUACUUACUUAUCAACAAAUCUUUAAUCCUUUUAAUUAAAUAAAUUGAACAAAUCAAUAUUAAGUGUCGUGAGUGUCAUCUACUACCAGAACAUGUAUAAUUUAAUUCCAAAUCACUGAAAAUCCACUAAAUAAAUUAAUCUGGUUGACAUUAGAAAACAUUAGUUUGAUUAUUCUGAUGCUUAACCUCUUCUGUCUUCUUUCUAAUACUAAAGAUUAUGACCUUAAUGAUAAUGUAGUUAAUAUGAAAAAUAUAAAAAAUAAAAUAAAAAAUUAUUUUAAUUUACUAUUUUUUAGGACAUUUAAGAAUAUGGAAUUCUUCAACCAAAACUAAGUAUAUAAAAAUGAAUCAUUUAUAAAUAUCAACAUCACUGGCUUUUAUUACGAAACUAGACUGUGUGCGCACCAUUUCAAGUUGCAGAAUGGAAUAGCUUCUCGUGAAGGAGACCAAAAACCCAAAAAAAUAAAAAAGGAAGAUUCGUCCAAAAAUUUAAAUAAGAAAUGGCCGACAUAUUCUGUUUACACUAAUCGGCCAUUAAUUACAAAUAAUUAAAGAUUAAAAAUCUAUUAACAAAAAUAUCUGCAAAUAACUGUUUUAAAAUAGUAGGAUCCUCCAACAGUAAUUUUCAGCGUGACAAAUCCAUGAACCUUAGCCAUCCAAACGCACCACCCUUCGUCGUUUUGUCAGCCUCUGUAGAGCACGAAGCAAACGACGUCGUCGAGCCACCAUCACCACCACCAUGCUUCCUCGGACACAGAAAGAAAUUUCUAGACCCGAUAUCGCUCAGUUUCUCAUUCCUGUCCAAACCUGAAUACAUACACAGUAACAAGAAAAUUAACAUCCCUAACGAUUUUCCGUUCAGAAAAAAUCAUUUUUUUUUUGGUAAGGGAAGAUUACUUUCUAAGGUGAACUGAGAAUAGUGAAGAUCGAAUUGUGAAGGAUCGUUCGACGGAAGAAUUGGUCGGCGACCUUCCUUAACGUACUGGUUCACCGCCGCCGCUACUAAAUCUCCGACGGCGGAUUCCGUCGUCAUCACCACCUGCACGGGACCCAGGCUUCCCAUGAUCGUAACCUUCAGCAAGAGCUUCGGAGGUUGCCUCCGGACAACCUCCGCCGUCGCGGCCGGAGAGGAGCGGUUUCUGUCUAGCAGAAGUUCCGGCACCGUCAUUGGCCGCCGAAUUGAUGCGCCCGGCAUGCCGGCGGUUGACGAUGAGUGACUGUGAAAGGAAGAGGAUUUGUUUGUUAACUUCCCCCGGCGAUGAGGCUCGGCCUGGCCGUUGCGGUGGUUCUUCGAGUUUUGCAUGGUGGUUACGAACCGUUAAGUAAAAAAGAAAGAAUAUUUACAGGAAAGGGUAAAGAUGGAGUUUGAGAAGUGUUUGUUGGGCUGGCUCGGCGGCUCUCUAUUUCAAUCGGCGGUACCGGCAAUAUCUGUGACGAGGGAAGCCGAGUAGUGAAGAAGAGCUUCGGCUCGGUGGCUCUGGCUUGCGCCGGUUGGAAGCUCUCAUAACCAGAAGGGUAUAACUGUAAUUUAAGGGCCACAAAAGAGCAAAAUCAAAAAAAAAAAAUUGAAAAAAGGUAGGGUUAUGGCGGCGCUACAAACUUUCCAUGAGUUGUUAUCGAUUUUCUCGGUGUGGGACUUUUUCUCGCUUUGGAGUGGUAGAAUUGCUUGGGUUAGAUUUAUAGAGAGUGGGAUUGGAACGGUUUCGAGGUUGGACUUGAUUGACUGUGGCCAAACGCGGUUGGCCUUUGAUUCGGAGAUGGGAUAUACGUAGAGAAUCAGAGACGACGAAUGAGGUGGGCUAUCGGGGACCACGUGGAGUGUUGUGUAGAGGAUUACGAAAUUUCGAGGCUUCGUGUCCUGUGAAGAAUCAAACGGAAUCCAAAUCAUUAUCUUAGAACAAUUUGCAUGUGUAUUUUUUCUUUUUCAGAUUUUUGUUUUUAAAUUUUAAAAAUUAACAAACAGAAGAUUCAAUAAUUGAGAAAGAAACACUGUAAUAAAACUGUGGAAAACUGGCACUUCAAUUAUCAAAAUUACCCAUUCGACUUUUCCAAUACUGAAAUUACAUUUUGAAACUUGAAUAUAGAAAACACGCGUUCUAUAAUAAAUGCAUAAAUUUAAUUUAAAUUGAUUUCACUUUUCUAAUAAAGUCAUUAUGAAAAAUGUCAUUUAUCAAUUUAUAUUUAUUUCCAUUGAUCUUUUCAUUUUCGUGAGAUUAACAGCAUUGUUUCUAAAAUGGAAAAGAAAAUUUAUAUUCAGAUUACCUUUUCGUAAAAGCAAUUUUUUCUAUCAUUUAGUAUAAAAUUAAUUGUAGUUUAGGUCACGAUAAUCCUGUCCAAAUACAGACUCAGAUUUAAUUUAAAAAAUAACUGAGCAAGUCGUUCGUCAGUUUAAAUUUUUAUUUUUAAAACCGACAAAUAAAUCAAAUAAAUAUUAUCAAUAGAAUCUUAGUUAUGCAAAUAUGUAAAAGUUCAUUUGAUAAAAAAUAUAUAAAAUAAGCAUGAUUUUGAAAGAAAAAAAAUCAUCAAAGAGAUGCAUAAACAAUAAAUUUAAAAUUUAUUAUCAGUGACUUAUACCAAAUAAAUUAUAGAACAAAUGAGAAGACUUUUGACCUUUCAAUUAUUGAGUGUACAAACGAUUUUAUAAAUGCUGAUCGAAAAAUAUUUUUCUUUAUAAGUCAAUGUUGAUCACUAUACUAAAUAAAAAAUAUUUAGCGAAAUAUAAAAAUUUAUAAAAUUACUACUUAUAUUUCAUUAAUGAAUUAGUUAAAGUUCAAAAAAUUAUUAAAUCACAAUCUCAUGUUCACUAAUCACUAUCUUAUUGGAUUAUGUUGCAAAUUGAAAUAAAAUUAAUUUGUUUGGUUGGAUUAAUCAAAAACUCACACGUAAAACUCUUUAUAUUAACCACAAGUGGCAAAAGAGAAUGAUUGUUUGUUUAUUUCAAUUUUUUGUUAUUAAUAAUACGAACAAUUAGCAUAAAUCCUGUCCACAAAAUUAAGCACGAUUUUCCUUUCAUUAGUUACAAUGUACGCAAGUUUCCGUAUUAUUGGAAAUUUUAACAUAAGUUUUCUGUGCUAUAUAAUCAUCAUAAAGAAAAAUGCUUUAUAUAUUUUGGAUGAGAAUUCCAACACGAAACAACUUUCUUUGUAAAAUGUACUAAGGAUUGUAUAUAUAAUGAAAAUCACUUUAUAUUGUUAUCAAUUUUCUUGAUCUUUAUAUAAUAAUAAUAAAAAAAAAGUAGUAUCUCAUAAGUUCUGAUUAUAGUUAUUUUUUUCUAAAUGUCCAAAUAUAAUUAAUUGAUAAUACAAAAUGAUUGCAUGUAUUGAGAGAGAAAAAAAGCUGUCUUUAUACUAUUUAUUUUUUAGUUAAGAUUAAAACCGUUGCAGAUGAAUCUUUGUUUAAAUAAAUUAUUUUAAAAUUAAGGUUUAAACCUCUUUUUGGUCCAUAAGCGGAUGUUCAGUUUAGUCUCAGCUUUUAAAAAUGUAAACCUUUGAAUUCUAAGUUAUAAAAAAUGUAUCAAAUGAGUCCUUUUUUUUAUGUUCAUGGUCAAAGUACAAAGAGCAAUCUAAAAUACUCUUAUUAUUAAGAAACAAAUCAGAGCAAUCUAAAGAUGUAAUGGUUGUUAAAAAACAACCAAAAAUAGUAUUUCAAAUUAAAAAAGGACUCAUUUGAUACAUUUUUUUUAUAAUUUAGGGACCAAAGAUUUACAUUUUUUAAAACGGCGACUAAACUGAGCAUCCCUUUAUAACUUAAGGACUAAAAAGAGGAUUAAACCUAAAAUUAAUCACCUAUAUAAGUGAGUAAAACUUUCUUAUUACACAAGUAAAAAAAAAAUAUUCUAUUUCUGAAACAACUUAACUAAACAAACCCAUAAAAAAUCUACUUAUUUUAUUAAAUAAGCACUUGUUUGAAAAAUAGCAAGCAAAUCAACCUGAUAUUUUAUUAUUACAACAAAUUAACUUUUGUACAUUUUAAUUAGAUUUCUUAUAUAAUAUGAUAUUAUAAUAUGUUUAAUACAAACUUUUAAAAAUAACAUAAGGUUCAGCUUAAUUCAAUAGUACCGUCAGGAGAAACGACAACUAUUCGUUUUACCUUUUAAUAUCGGUUUCUAAACAAAAACAUAUACAGACGAAGUAAAAAGUCUAGACCUUUAUACCUCGGUUCAGAAUCGAAACAAAAAGUCUCGGUUCAAAGUCAACGGAUGCAAUAUAUAUUUGACAAUAGAUUACUAAAUUUACUUGUUAAAAAUUUAUAAGUCAAAAACAUAUUAUCUAAAUGUCCUGACCUUUAUGAAGUAAAGAAUGCAAUUUUUCACUUAAUAGUGGUUGUGUUUGUGGUUCAACUGGUUUUGACGAAUAUUUUUAUUACUUUUUCGGAAUAUUAUUCGUCUUGAUGUUCAUAAAAUUGUCAAAUAAUUAUUUUGAGAGUUAGAUGAUUUAUAGUAUGAAUUCGAAUAUUAUUUUAAUAAUUCCUAAAGUUAAUAAGAUAGAAUACUAAUUUUUGUCUUAUAACUUUCUUUUCUUUUAAAAUCAUUACGUUUGCGGUGAUUGUAACAACAUUGUUCCCCUAAUUAGAAUGGAUUUAUUAAGGAGAAAAGUGUUAAAAUUAUAUUUGUAUUAUUUCUGAAGUUAUUAAUCUUCUUUAAAAAAAAUUAUUAAAGAUAAUAAUGUAUUAUAGAUAUAACCAUUUAAUUCAAAUGUUGUGUUGUUUUGAUUUUUAUAAAUAUUUAUUAUAUUAAUUUUACAUAUAUUAUAAUAUAUUCAUCUGUCUAUAUGGAGUUAAUAGUGUUUUUUUGGUUAUCUUAAUUGUGGGACUUCUAGUACACCAUCUUUUUAAUCUUUGAUUGAUAAAAUUCAUAAUAAAUUUGUUUAUUAGAAAGAAAAGUUGGCUAGUAUGAUAGUAUUUUUAGAAGAAGUUAUAAUUAAGAUGUGAAUGGUUUUUCAUCUCUUUUACGUCAUAAUUCUUAGAUUACUUAGUGGUUUCUUAUAAUUUUAAAAAAUAAGAAAAAUUAUUGUGCUAAUAAGUUAGUUAAUUUUGUUUAGUUAAUUUUUUAUUCAUAAAUAAUAUUAUAAAUAGUUUAAUGUUUUUUCUUCAUAUAUUUAUUCAAUAUUUUUUAUAAUAAUUAUAAUUUAUCAUGAUUUUAAUCUUAUUUUCCUAUGUUUUAUAUUAUUUUAUUUUUAUUUUCAUAACUGCGUAUGUGAUUACAAAUAAUUAAUGAAUUUUGGAGUAUUGUCUUUGUAUCACUUACACAUUUUUCGGAAAAACUUUUCAGAAGGUCAUCCAUUCCAAAUUACUCCAGUCUAAAUACGCUUAACCAUGAAGUUCUUAUGGGUUAGGUUACCGAAAAACAAAUACAUUUGUUGAUACGAGUAGCCAAAUUAAUUCUUUUAAGCUAUCCUUCAACCGUAUAGUCUCAUACUUAUACAGUCUCUAGAUCCCUCUCAUUCUGGUGUAUGUUCGAUUCGUCCAUGUGUCCCUUCCACUCGAAACCUGCCAGGAGCCGCUCAUUGUAUGUGCCUCUUGCACCGACUAUCACUCUCCGCUCUUGUCAGUGCCCGGAUGUCACAAACCUAAUUUAGAAAUAAAAGUCAUUAUAAUACCUAAAUGAAUUUAUUUGAAACUAACAUAUAGUUUAUGAGCUACUUUAGUUAAAUAUACCCUUAUGAAUUCAAAAUCUUAUAUUUACGUAAAUAUGACAUUUAAACUUAAAAUUAUUAAAGAAGUCGCUAAAAAAAUCUUAUUUUGUUAUUUAAACUUUUGAUGCUUUCACUAUUACUUGUUUAUAUUAUUAAGAAUGUAUAUUUUAAAAAUAUUGAUCAAACUUUAACAUUGAAAACAUCUAUUAAAUGAUUUAAAAAUAUGAAAAAAAUCUAAGUAUAACAAAGUGUUUUAGUUUGAUGGAUAGAAAUAUAAAUAAAACUUAACUAAUGAUAAUCAUUUGAUGUUGUUCUUUUACAAACAUUCUUAAUGAAUAUAUAAAUAAGAGCAUCAUCUCCUCUGAACAACAAUAUUAUUGAUUUGAAAUGAAAAUAAAAUAAAGUAAAAGUAACAUAAUUAACCUUAUUGGUGGUUGAGGACUUUGUAAUAACCAUAAAACCGGUGGGUCAUGGAAGAAAAUGACAGAAUUUAUAAAUGGUGUUAUGAAAAGUCCAUCACAUUCACAAAUAUUGUUGAAUUAUCUUGUCUUUCCUUCAACAUAAUAUAUAUAUUUUUCUUUUUAAGUAUCAAAUAAUUUUGAAAUGUGUUCUAACAUAGGAUUGAGUCACCUAAAUUUUACACAAUUUUUCUUUAAGAUUGUCAAGUCACUUUCUCUUGUCUCAUUCCUCCGUUCUCUAUCCUAUCCGGGAGGGUACUUAUCAAAAGUCCUCUAAUGCCAAAAUUAGUAAUAAUCGGACUGGUAAUCAGAGUGCUAUAAUAAAUGCGCAAUUAAUGAGUAUCUUUACCUCUAACCUUUGAUCUGUCUCUAUUUAUAAUUUUGAUUAUGGGCUUUGGAUUAGAGAAACCUUGAACAAGACCCAAUCACAGCCUAAUUGCUCUUAACCAGUGUUUUACCUUCACCAUAUUUGGAAGUUUACUUGUUGUGACCGUCCGACUUCAUUGUUGAUCAAGCCUAGUUCGACGUGACCGUCUAGAGACCCCACUAAAAAAUGUCUACUAAUAUUUAUGGUUCACUUUUAUUGAGAAAAAAAAUGGAAGGAGGAAAAUUGAAAUUUUCUAUUUAUGUUCUAUCUUGGAUUGUUUCAUCACAAUAAAAUUAUACAUUUUUUAAUUAUAUUUUUGGUUUAGAGUUUUAAUUUUUUAAUUAAAUUUUAUUACAUUUAUUUAAUGUUUUAUAUGUAUUUCAUAGUGUUUGAAUUAUUUACAAAAUUUAGUCAAAAAACUACGUGUAUUGAAAAAUUAAAUUAAAUCAAUAUUAAAAAUAAUAAUUCUAAUUUUUAUUAUAAAAGUGAAGAGACAGAAAUAAUAUUAAUUUUCUUUAUUAAUAUUACGCUUCUGCCCAUAUAAAAAAAAUGGAAAGACAUUUUUAAAUGUAACCAACCACAAAAGGGUGAAUUUGAGUUCAAUACCUUCAAUUUGAGUUAAGGUACACAGUUUAUUAUAAGAAUUAAAGGAAUAGAAAAUGAUAAUAAGUUAAAAGUAAUAUAAAGUUUUGCAAUGAAACAUAAUAUAAUGAGUUAUGAAUAAAUAUAUGUUAAUUGAAUUAAUAUUGUAUCAAAAAUGGAAAAUAUACUUUAGUUGUUUAUUUUCCAAAAAAGAUAAGAAUAAAAUUAAUUAAUAUAAUUAAUGCAAGAAUUGUGAAAGUUAAAUUAAUUAAACAUAAAUGUGUAUAUAAUUUAUUGGCAAUUACCGACCUAUGACCAUAGUGCAAUAAGUGUGCGGUAACAGGUGCUCCUACCCUUUUCUGACAUCACUGAUAGCUCAGUGAGUGGUACCUACAAAUAUUAAUCAUUCAUCAUAAAUAAACUCAAUUAAAUUUAAAAUAUCUUAUGAAUAUAAAUAUUUUUAAUUACAACUCUACUUAUGGAGAAUUACAAAUAAUUUUUAAUCUUAAAAUACCUUAACAUUUUAAUUUUUGUGAAAAGAUUAUACGAUUAAACUCUAAAUCUAAUUAACUUUAUAAAAUUGGUCAGUAACAUAAAAUUUACACUAAUUUAUACAUGUAAAGUUAUUUUAUCUUUGUGUAAAACCUUCAAUUUAUAUCGCGAUUAUAAAAUUAUACGUUAAUGAUGAUUAAAAACGGAUAACAUGAUAGUUUACACAAAUAAUAUAUUAAGAAAUAAAUUUUAAAUAUAAAUAAAUUUUAUAAAAUUAUUUCUUAAUAUUAACUGAUCUUGGAUAUGAAAUUAUUAAUAACAUUUUUAUAAUUUGUUAUGUUUGUUGAACCGAUCAAUUAGCAAUUCCUUUUUAAUUUUAAAUUAUUGCUUAUCUCAAUUAAUUUUUUCUUCAAAAAUCGACUCGAAAGAAAGAAUAAAGGAGUUGAAGAAUGACAAUGACGAUCUUGAAUAUGAUAGGAAGGACAAAACUAAGGCAGCUACACUUUUUAUAUCUAUCCACACAACAAUUGCAAUUGAGACAUACUAUUCAAUACUUUUUUGUUUUUUCUUAUUGGAAAUACAUUUUUUAAGUUUUACUUAGUUUAAAAAAAUUAAUAUUUUACUCUUACAUCUCAAUUUUUUUUUAAAGUUCGUAAGUUUUAUUUAUCUAUACGGAUAAUGAUAUUUUUGACAAUAUUUUUUUGACAAUAUUUUAAUAUCAUCUACCCGUCAUUUUGUGAUUCGUUCAAAAUUAUUUCAUAAUCAAUAAUAAUAAUCAUAAACACUGAAUCAAUCACAAAAUAAUAAUAAAAUAUUAUAAAAAAUAUUAUUAAAUAUCAUUAUCCUUAUUUAUAUAAACCCAUCUUAAGAAAGAGUGAGGGAUUCACUUUUUGAAGAGGACGUUUAAUAAAAAAAUAAGUUUUUAAAAAUUCUAGUACUAUAUUACGAUAGUAAAUUCUAAUUUAAAUUUAAUUUAAAUUAAACUAAAAUAAUGUUUAUUUUCAUUUAUUUACUGUUUCAAGAAGUUUUAUCUCUAUUCACGUGUUGAAAACAGACUCUUAAAUCACCGUCCAAAAUUGAACAGAGUGCGUGAUUCUUCUUUUCUUUUUCCCACUUCUAUUAUUGAACUCUGUUUAAUUCACGCCUAUGGUAGCGUGACAAUUUUGUUUUUCCAUUUUAAAUUUGAGUAUAUGCAGCAACUAAAAUUUAUUUUGAAGAAUAUAAUUAUUCUUUUGAAAGUGAUUUUUAUCUAUAAUUAAAAAAUUCAUAAAAAAAAGAAAAAAAAUUGUGAUGAUUGAUCUCUAUCCUAGUUCUGAUUAUGUUAUCUUCAGGUGCAUUAGAAAAGAGGUUCUUACAGUACGUUACGUAUGCUUGAUAAGGUCGGAAUAUUAAUACAGUUAUAACCUUCCCAAGAAGCUGCCAAAAAUUUCUAUGCACAACAGUAAUGGCAAUAGUUUGCUUUGGACCUAUGAUGCGUGGAUACUGUACCUAUAUAGCUUACCAUUAUGCUUGCAUUUGGUACAGUGAUAUGUCUUUAAAAAUAAUGUAUGCAUAAACGUGGAUUAGAGAUGACAUUAUUUAAGUGUAUAUAAGUGAAUAUAAACUUAUGAUUUUGUAAAAUUGAGUUAGGUCUAAAAUCCACUUUUAACAAUAUGUAUUAUAAUAGAUAUUUUUAUUUUGAAAUAUAUAUAUAUUUUAAAAAGUUAUGUAAUAGAAUAGUUGAGGGAAUUUUUCUUAAGAUUUAUUUUAUGUGAUGUUUAUUCGGUUGUUUUUCUUGAAACUUUGUUUAUAGUGAUUGAAAUAAUGGUUAUCAGAGUAAUUAUCUUAAUAAAUUGGAGAUAAAAAAUUAAAGUUGAUUUCAGAGUCAAUUAUUUUUCUUUUGUUAUGUUUUUCAAAUUAAAUAAUUAAUUUGUAUGACAUGAAAUAAAUCUAGGAAAUAUGUGAGUAAUAUGAUUUUUAAUAUUUUGGUACUAAAAUUUUUUAAUAUUCAAAUUAAAGAGAAUAUGAUAGUUUUAUUAUAGACGUAAUAUAAAUAAGUUUCAUCUGGUUAAUUGGUUUAUUGGUUUAAGGUAAAUAUUAAUAAGAUACAGUAAAUUGUUCUAGUUUUGCUUUAUGUGAUGGUAUUUCUAAAAAAAAUCAGAGUGAAUACUUAAAUAGUAUUUUAGAUUUUUAAGAAACACGUUUAUGCAGAGUUUAUAAGAUCAAUUAUAUUUUCCAACAAGCUUGGAGGAAAGACUUUCAGAAAUUUUGAUUGGUUAGUUAUUCAUUGUGCAGGUUUUUUUAUCAAGGAAUAAUUCUUUGAAAUCUUGAAAGGAAAUGACAAAAAUAUUUAUAUUUUUAUAAACAUAUAUACAAUUGAUAUUAGAGUCACUCAUUUUUUUUAUACAUGAAAUAAUCAUAUUAAUAAACUGGUUAAUUUAAUUUUAAUUCACAAAUUACAAUAUAAGUGAUUUAAUAUUUUAUCUAUUUAAAUUUUUUAUAAUAAGUUUUAUAUGAAACUUAAUUUUAAUUAGAUUUGUUGUUUUUGUAUUCUUUUAUUUUAUUUUAUUUUAAUAAAGAUAAAUUAUUGAUGAAUUUUAGUGAUGCCUAAGACAACUUUACUUAAAAAAUAUAUUUAUUUUAUAAUAAAAAAUAAAUAUAAAUAAUUUUUACAAAUUAAUUAUAUAGUUUUUAAUUUAUUUUGUAGACAAUUUUUAUUUAUUGAAUUCUGAAAAUGGUUAAAUUUAUAAAUGAUUAAAUAAAAAAUAUUAAAUUUUAAAAAAAAUUAUAAAAGUUAAAUGAUAAAUUUGAAAAAAAGAAAUUGUAGACACCACAAAAAAUAGUAAUUAUUUAACAUAUAUUAAAUAUUAUCAAAAUAAAUAUCUCAUACGUGGCAUUUCUUUUUAUGAUAAGUUUUAGAAGGGUAGAGUUUUAAACUUCUGAAUUCUCCGAUAUGAGAGAAAGCCUAAUAACACCAUAUUUUGUAUUUGUUGUUACUUCUUUCAGGAUUAUGAUUACACUCUUUUCUAAACAGAUUGUGUAUAGUUCGUGUGGCUGUAUAUUCAUUUAUUAUAAAUUUAUUAUAGAACGUAAUCAGAUUAGGUUUAAGAGGAUAUAAUUGUACAGGGUCAUUUGUUUUAAUUAUCAAUUUUAACAUUUAUUUAUAGCAUGCAAUUAUUUAAAUUAAGUUUCUAAACUUUCUAACAAAUCAUUAAUUUGUUAUUAAUAGUUGAGAUCAAUAUUAUUUUAAUGAGAAUCUAGAUUUAUGGUAUAUGUUAAUUAUAUAAACUGCAAUUAAUAUUUAUUAAAUAAUCAUUUAUAUUUAAUAUUAUUUAUAAAAAUUCCAAAGUUUCUUAUUUACUUGAACGUUGUAAAGUUUUUUUAGAAAUAAAUUUUCACUUUUUGAAUAAUAAAAAGUUCUAUUUCGACUAGCAAAGAUUUUCAAAUCAUCACUAAAAUCCUACUACUUAUCUAAACAUUCCAUAAUCAAACCAUGUUAUAUGAUAUUGAUUUUUAUAUACUGAUAAGAAAAAAGUUAAAUACAUACAUAUAGGAACUUAUAUAAAGAUAAAGCAAAUAUUCUUUAAAUAAAGAGAUAAUGAAAAUAAAUUAAAUUAUAAUCACAGAGAAAAAUUAACAAAAAAGAUCGAUAUCGUUUCUAGAUGAAUGAUAGAUAAGAGCAUGACAUGGAUAAAAAUACAGUAAAAGUAUCGAUAAUAUAUAUAUAUAUAUAUAUAUAUAUAUAUAUAUAUUGUUUUGGGUGAAUUUUCUGAUUUUCAGGCAUAGUUUUAUUGGAAAAAUAAAAUAUUUAGAAAAAAAAACACUCACAAGACGCUGAUUAAUGCAAAACCAACGUCUACAAAUGUCUCUCAGUGUACAAAUCGACGUCCAAUGAAUUACAGUGGACAAAACGCUCCAAGACCUAUAGAAGUCACCUCUGGACAAGUGAAACGUCUAUUGUAACUAUGAUCGACGUUUAUGCAGACAUUGGUGUUGUAGACAGCCGACGUCUAUGUAGACGUCAAUUAUAUCCUAACCAACGUCUCAUUUAACAUCACUUGAAUAAACGUCGGUUUCAUAUAUGAUGUUAAAAGUCUAAAAUAACUAACGUCUAAAACCCUUUCUGCACUAGUACUCGAGAAGUGUAUUCGAUUAUUAACAAAAAAAAAAAAACAAAAUAGAGCUAUCAUUUAUAAUUUUUAAAUUUUUUUAGUUUAAACAUGUUAUUUUAAUUAUAUUUAAAUUUAUAAAGACGAAAACACUUAUCUAAUAAUUAAAAAAAAAAAAAACUAAACAAGGAAUUGAAAUGAAUCAUAAAUUAUCUUUUCCUAUUAUGUAUACAUAUAGUCACUCCUUUUUCUAAUAAAAAGGUGAAAUAAUAAUAACUGUUAGCUUUUCACAAAUUAAUAAAAGCAAUUGAUUCUAACUUUCCUUUAUUGACCUGGAGUCACUUUCUUUUUAAUAAAAAUUCCUAUUCAUAAAAAAUAUUAAAUUAUAUACAUCAUAAAAAAAAAUAUUAUUUAGUUAUAUACAUCAUAAAAAAAUUGGUGUUGAUCUUUUUGAUUUGCAAUAGAAACAAGGAUGAACAAUAAAUUCAAAGGUGGUUGUGAAGUUGUGAUGAUUGUUAUGCAUGGGACAAUAAGGGUGGGGUGCAAAAAGACCCAUAAAGCCUAUCGAAUCAUCAAAUGAACCAAUUAUUAUUAUUUCUCCAAUGAUGUACAUGUUUUUCAAGUUAUCAAAAUUAUUAAUUAUUUUUUAAUCACCACUAAAUUAACUAAUAUAAUAUGUUUUAAGGUUGUAAUAGUUUCAUUUCUUUUCAUAAUAUCUUGAAAUAAAUUUAUUAGAUUUAUUAGUUAAUUGAUUCAUUCAAGGUAUGGAUCGAACUUAAAUAUUCUUGUAUGCAUAAUCUAUCAAUUUGGCACUUUUCAACUGAUAAUAAUUGUCACAAUGUCAAACAAAAGUUUUAUAUUGAUAUUUUAUAAAAAAAAAAUGUGAAUCUCAAUAUCAAAAUUUUACUUACGAAAGAGGAAUUCCUAUUGCAUUAUUUAACUUAUGCUUGAAUUAAUAUAUUUUGUUUUGUGAAAGUUUUAGAAAAAAGUAAUUAUUUAAAUUAAUGACUUCCAAAAUAAAUAAAAAAAUACUACGGAUGAUGAUAAACAAAGAUAACAUUUUUAAAUCCACAACUAUUUAACACCAAAAGAAAUAUAUUUUUGCUACAAAGUAUCAAAUAUUUAGAAACAAAAUCAAGUAGGAAAAUUAAAAUAUUAAUAUUUUUAAAUAUUUAAUAAGUGUGGAAAGAUUUAAAAAUGUAUGCUUAUCAUUUUCCUUUAUUAAUUUCUAAUACCGUCUCCUUCUCUCUUAUCAAAUUCAAUAUAAAAUUAUUAAAAUAAUUGCGAGGUUCAAUAUUUUCACAAUAAUAAAAUAUUAUUCGUUUUGGGUUUAAUUCUCACAAAUUUAUUUUGAUACCACUUAAAAACUUUUUAUCAACAUGAGAUUUUGUGUUUUAACAUAAAAUACCUCAAAUACAUGAAAAUAAACUAAAAAAUAUCAAUUGAUAGAUUUUGGAUAACAAAAGUUAUAACUCUUUUUCUUUAAUUAGGUUGAAAAAGAUACUCAAUUUUUUCUUUAAGAAAAUCAAUUUUAGGAAAUCACAGUCAUAUAAUUUUUUCUCUAGUAAAUUAUUUUUUAUUUUUGAUAACACUUCAAAAAUGUCUUACCAAUAUAUAAAUUUAUGUUUAUUUAUUGUUUUAUUAAAUGUGAGACUUUAUUUAUAUCUCGAUAAAAAAAUAUCUUAAAUAUAUGAGAAUAAACUUUAAAAAUAUUAAUAUGUAGACUUUAAAUUGCACGGUUACAAACUUUUUUCUUUUUAAUUAGGUUGAAAGGGAUGGUCAAUUUUUUUUUUUAAUAGGACAAUUUUAGGAAAAACGGUAUAAACCAUAGACAACUUGAAUAAAAAUGAUUAAAUUUACUUUUUUUUCCAAAAAAAUACAUGGGUAACCCAUUUAAUAACUCAAAAUAUUGAUUUUGUAACAAUGUGUAAUGUGAGGUCAUUUUCAUUCCACAUGGAUGUGGUGUUGAAUGAAUCCUUCUCCCUCCUACAUUAUUUUUGGGAUGGCUUUUGAGAUGUGACAAGUGGACCUUCAUGCUUCAAUACUAUACUUCAACAUACCCACUUGCAAAGAUUAUCGUGAAAACCAUUUCCUUUACUUAUACUUCUUUCUUUUCGUUUUGACUCUUCUUUUGGAAUCAAUCAAAAAUGUGAUAUAUGGGUAGGAGAGUCAUUAUUCCUAAACUUACCAUCAAUGCUAUUACUUUACUUUUCAGACCGACAGCAACACUAAUACAACAAGCAAACAUUUCAAAACACUUGAUUCAUUAAGAACUAAUGCAUGCAUCCAACAUGCAUGUUUUCCUAUGUUCCGAACAACUCCACCACAAGGAUUGGGGAGAAAUAAUUGAAAUUUGUUUUUUUUUUCUCAGUGUACCAUAUGAGCUUGACGAUCAUAGAACCAUCUUUGUACCAUAUCGGUCGACCGACCAUAAAAAUCUCCCGUGAUUAAUUCGGCCGGACGAUCGAGGAUUACGAUCGGUGAGAACCCAUAAUCUAUGCAAAGUUUAAGGUAAGAAGUGAUUAGAGUCAUUAGGUCGUGAUUAAAGUUUCACUAAUCUUAGACCCAUGACGAAAACUAUAGAUAUGAGUCAAAGGUAAGAGAUAGGUGAUUCACAUUUUCUGUGUAUUUAUUACUGAUCUAAAAUUACCUUACGAUUUACACUUAAGCAUCAGAGAACCUUUAACAAGUACACCUCCGAACAGAAGAGCGAAGGAGACCAGAAAACAAAACCAGACGAAGUUGAAGAAUGAAUUGCUAAGGUAUUUAGAGUUAUUCGAUCUCACAACCGAAACAUCAAAUCAGAAUUAGUUUAUGUUCAAAAUAAUUUCUAUAAGUUCUUUUUAAAGUUUUUUUUUUUUUUUUUUACUUAUACAUAAGUUUUAGUUGACAAAGCAUUAAUUUCGUUUUGCUUCUGUAAACAAAAUUAUGAAAAAAAUUCAUCGAAAUAUAAAAGUAGAAGGAAUUGAAUAACACGAUGAAGUAUCUAACAUACACAUUUGUUUUUAAAAUAAAAUUUUUAUUUCUAUUUGAUUAAAAUCUUAUUAUAAGAAACAAAUUAUUAGUUUACAACCAUAACCUUUAUUAAAAAAGAAACUACAAAAUCAUUUCAAAUAUCUCUUUAUAUUAAUCACUCUUUAAUGGUGUGUAUAUAUAUAUAUAUAUACUAUUAUCUUUUAUUCUUCACUUUUUUCUUCUUUCUCAUGAAAAUUCAAUUUUUAAAUUUUGUUCUCUUCUUCCAUGAUUUAUUGUCGUUUCUAUUAUAUUAGUUUUGAAACGGAUAAAGUUAUAAGAAGGUAAAAGAAACUAAAAAAAAAAUUAUACAAAAAAUAUGAUAUAAAAUUAAAAGAUGUUUUGUAAUCGGUUAUAAAUUAUGAUUAUGUACAUAUACAAUGAAACAUUAACUAUGUACAUGUACAAUGAAUCUAUUGUUAAGCAAAUAAUUAGUAAUGUAUGAAUUUACGAAGACAGUAAAAAUUAAAAGAAAAUAAAUGGUUCAGUAGAACAAAUAUUAACAUAUUUUAUUUUUAGUACAAUAAAAAAACUAGUCUUGGUAAAAAAAACAUCAAUUAUGUUACUUUCAUUUCAAUUUCAUUAAUCAUUAAUAUAGUUGAACAUAUAUUUGAUUUUCAAUGAUUAUCACAUGUAUUUAUUAAAGAAAAAAUUAGUCACAAUAAAAUAAUAAUGUUACUAAACUAACAAGGAUUUAAAAUUUAUAAAACAGAAAAGUAAAAGUUAAAAAUUACCUUCAAAAUUAAUUACAUGUUAACAUUAAGUUUUUCUUUAAUAAAUACAUGAGAUAAUUACUAAAUAUAAACAUGUAUUCGACCAUCUCAAUAUUAAAAGAAUUUCAAACAAAAUUAACAUAAUCAAAAUUUUAUAUUGAAAUUAUUUUUUUUAUUAUUGUGUUAAUAUAUAUAUAUAUAUAUAUAUAUAUAUAUAUAUAUAUAUAUAUAUCAACAAUUAUUGCGUUAAUUAUUAUGUUGAAAUAAAUGUUUAUUUAAAAUUAAAAAUAUUUGUAAUAGAGAUUUAUUGAAGUAGGUGACAGAAAAGUAGAUGGAGUAUAAUCUCCUCCACAUUAAUAAAAACAAUAAUGAAAUAUUGACCAAUUCCUUUGAUGAAAGAGAAGUGAGACAUGCUUUUAUAAAGUGUAGGAUGAGAAAAUUCAGGGCAAUUAUUUAUUAACUUCUUUACUUUUAUUCUUUUUGUCAUUUUAUAAGAUGUUGGUGAAGCACAUUAAACAUUAUCAUUGUUUUUUUUUUUCAGAUUUUAAAUUAAUGAAUUAAUUAUUAUUGAUAAAGACCUUUUCUUAAAGUUGACAACCAUCAUAGUAUUAUGAAUGAGAUUUAUUUCAAAAUGAAUGGAGAAAAAACAUGUAAUAAAAUUAUCAAAAUUAGAUAAAAAUUUGCACACAAAUUAUAGUAAUGUUUUGUUAAAAUUCAUUUUUAAUGAAAGAUCUGAAGAGAAAAAAAAAACAGCAAACAAAGACAUACUAAUGAACCUUAAAACCUCAAUAAGAGAGACCUAUAAUAUUUUAAAAAAUAAAAAUAAAAAGUCAAAUAAAUAAAUAAAUAAAUAAAUAAAAGUGCCAAAUUUUAGAUAAUUUUCAUCAUUCAUUUCAGUUUCCAGUCCUUGCAUAAUACUGAUAUAAAAUAAUUGGUGUUUUUAACAAACAAGGGAUGAUGCAAUGUGAAUAUAACACUUUUAAUUUAAUAAAGACUUUACACAAAUUUAUAUUAUUUGACAUAAAUAAUUAUAAAAGAAUUAAUUUAUGUAUUUUAAUAUAAAAGAAAAAAUUAAAAAUAAAAAAUGAUAUAAUAAAUUGGCAUGCAUAUCUGUACCUAAUCCAUGUAAGCAAAAUUGUAAUUUACUCUUUAAGGUUUUCAGUGUUUUUUUAGAAAGAAAACAUUUCUUUAACAAUUGUUUUUGAACAAUUUUUUGAGAAAUGAUAUUUUAUGAUUAAUUUAUUUUAAAUAUUUCUUUAAAAAAUAAACUCAAAUAAAUAAAAAAAUAUUAAUGUAAAAAAUAUUAAAAGAAUUGUUAAAAUAUCAAGAUCCUAAUUUAUUGGUCUUGUGUACUGCAAACAUUCAAUUGCAACGUCCAUUUAUGGAGUAUCUAUGGCAGCACAAUGACAAGUUUUAUUAAACUAAAAAUAAGUCUUUUUGAUGAAAUAAUGUACAAUACAUUAUUUAAAAAUAGUAUAAGAUUUAAAAAAAUAUUACAUUUUUUUAAAAUAAAACAUAUCAAACAAACGUGUAAUGGCUAAAUUUUUUUCUAUUAAAAAAUAAAAACAAACAAAUUAAUUCAUCUUUGCAAUAGGAAGUACAUUUCUCCAUUGAUGAAAUGAAAAAUAUAAUCAUGAAAAUAAAAUUUAAGGCAAUGAAAUCUAUUUUUCUCCUCGAUCAUCAAAGAUUCAUAAUCAAAUUCGAAAUUUCAUAUAAUACUGUUUAAUCAAACAUACAUAUCGAGAUAAACAAUUAAAAAAAAUCACAUUUAAAAAUAAGAUCAAGUAUGGCACUAUAAAAAAAAUUAUACGCAUCUAAUAUCUAUAUUUAUAAUAGAUUUUAAUUACGAUUUUAUAGAUAAUUAUGCUCAAAAGUAGUUUAAAAUAUACUAACGUUGUUUCAAAAAAAAAAAUUGACAUGAGUGUAUAUAAAACUGAAUGAAAAAGUUUGUUUUUUUUUUUCAAAAUCAUAACCAAAAAACUCUUAUAACGAAGAAAGCAACUUAUUUUCUAGCAUAAAUUUAAGAUUUUAGCUGUCCUAAAUACUUCAUGAAAAAACUCAAGAUAUCUAUCUUUUUUAUUGGGCCGGCUAGCUUAACAGCAUUGUUUCUGUAACUGCUUCCUGCACCUCUAUAUAUGUUUCCUGCAUUCCCAUAUAAGAAAAAAUUUAUUUUGUUAGUUUUGGAUAGUGAAAUAAAAAAUAAUUUUCAAAUUAUAAUUCAAAAUAUUUUGAAUUAUAUAAUAUGCAAGUAAAAUAAUUUUGGGUUAAAUAUGUUUUUAGUCCCUAUACUUUGGGGCGAUUUUGGUUUUAGUCCUUCUUUCAAACUAAGGUACAAUUUAGUUCUUCAAUUUUAGAAAACUCUGGUUUUAGUCAUUUUUACCAAAUAUUUUUAACUUUAUUUGUUGUUUCAAAUGCGUUUCUCAGUUAACAUUGAAGCAAAAAUAUGUCAAACAGUGUAAACAUCCAAAUACUACAAUGAAACGUGCUUGAAAUAAAAAAUAAAAUUAAAAAAAUUUGGUAAAAAUGACUAAAACCAAAGUUUUCUAAAGUUGAAGGACUAAAUUAUACCUUACUUUGAAAGAGGAACUAAAACCAAAAUCGGUCCAAAAUAUAAGGACUAAAAACAUAUUUAACCCAAUAAUUUUAGGAUUGACUUUCAAAUCACACUAUUCAAAAAGGACAAAAUAGAAAGUUUAUUCUAUUAAGGGUUGUAGGAACAAAUUUGAAAAGGUUGCGCGAGGAACCAGCGCAAUGUUUGCGAAGAUUAUUGGGCCAGUGUGCUUGUGGUUCGAACCGGAAAAUCAAAUUCAUAGGUCCAGAACAAAUUCGUGUUACAAAUAGUCUCAAUUUCUAUCUUUACAAUUUCAUGAUGGAAAGAACUGUACAUACAAUUAACUUAUACUGUUAUUAAAAAGAUUAUUUCAAUGGUCUUGAAAUAUUUUAACUAAAGUCAAUUAUUAUUUAAUAUUUGGACAGUUGUUGUUUAGAAAAACAAAUUCAAAAUAACAAUUUGUCUCAACUUUUAUAGUUAAAACAUAAAAUUAAGAGAAAUAACAGUCAUAUAAUUCUUUCUCUAGUAGAUUCUUUUUUAUAUAAUAUUUAUAGAAAAAUUAUAAACCCUAAUUUUGAAUCCAAGGCUAAAAAUGUCUUAUUUAAAAAAUACAUAUUUAAUCGAUAUUAAACCUAGCUCCAUGUUUAUAAAUACAAAAGUUUUUUUUUAUUUUUUUAUUUUUUUUAUUUUUUUUUAUUUUUAUGUGAAACAAUAUUUUUCCUGUGUUCUUUGAUGCAAAAGGUCCUACAUUCCAUUGUUCUAACUCUACAAAAAUGUAGGGCUCGAUGGUCAUUUUAGGGGAAGGUGAACAACGACGAUGACAUUGUUAAAAUGAUUCCUGUGAGUGGUCUACCAUGUGGGUUUUAAUGUGAAUCUUCGGCUUGUCUUAUGUUUUAUUAUUAUUAUUUAUUGCAUGUAGUGAGUAAAUUGACCAACAAUCUUUAAUAUAAGAAACAAUUUCAAAAACUAAAGUUAUUAUGUUGUAUAAAUUCAAGAACUACAUAAAAUUUCACCAAUUAUGUGUGUCAAUAUGGCAUUUAACAAAGGAUAAUGAUAUUUAGAUAACAUUUUUUUGACAACAUUGGAACAUUGAUUACGUGUCAAUCUGUGAUUGGUCAAAAAUUACUUUACAAUAAUGUUUAUGAUUAUUAUUAUUGAUUGUGGAGUAAUUUUUGACCAAUCACAGAUUGACACAUAAUCAAUGUUCAAAUGUUGUCAAAAAAAUGUUGUCUAAAUAUCAUUAUCCUUUAACAAAUCAAACCGAUGUAUCAAACAUUGUUACUCUUAAAUGUCAAGAACUAUAUUUAAAUUCAUGUAAUUUCCGAAACUAAAUUUGAAUAAGGCUAAAAUCUUCUGGUAUCAUAUUAUUUUUAAAAUUUGUGUUUCAUCUCUAAAACAAGUUAUAUAACUAUUUCAUUUAUAUAAUUUAUAAAAAUUAUAUAAAAUACUUGUCUUCAAAAAUAUUUUAUGUAUAUAAAUAUACAUCUAUCUUUCAUUUUAUAAAUUAAACUUUUAUAUCUUAAAAAUACAACAUAAAAGAAAAAUUACUGGUUUUAUAUAACGAUAAUGCGGGAUGAAAUAAAUUUAUGUAAGAAUGAUAACAUUUAAAAAAAAUAAAGAGAAAGCACGUUAUAUGGAAGAGAGUAGGAAUAACAAUGGUUGGGUUGUGCAUAGGUAGUGUUUAUCCGUAAUAUGACCUGUCAGGUAAAAUUGUACCUGUUAUCCGACUGGUUAUUUGCACGGGUAUUCAUUUAAAAAAUACUUGUGGGUAUUCGUGGAUAUCCAUAAAAAAUAAAAAAAAAUUAUAUAUUUUUAAAAUAAAAUUUAAAUAAAAUUACAAAAAUAUAUACAUAAUAUAAUAUAAAUUAAAUUAAAUAUAUAUUAAAGUAGAAUUGUAAUUAAAUUUAACCUAAUAAAAUAUAAUUUUAUUUUAUUUUUUAUUAGAUUUAAGUAAAAAUAUAUAAAUUAAUUUUUUUUACGAGUAACAAAUACUCGCAGGUCGGAUAGUACUAUCUAUAUCCGAUCUGUUUAGAACUGAAUAUUAAAAUAUCUAUUAUCCAUGAUCUACGAGUAAUAUAUAUUUUCAUAUAAUAAUUAUUCGAUGCGAAUUUUAUUCACGAAUACCUUUGUAUUCUUUUUCUAGAAAAGAAUAUAGUAAUAUAUGGAAAUGCAGUGAAGAUAACGUGGUGGCUGCCAGAGUGAUUAAUGCAUAGGAAAAAUUUGCUGAAAAGAGUGAGUCAUAAUGAGCUAAGCCAUGAAUGGUGACAGAGAAAGGGAAAAAUAAGUGUUGAUAGUGUAAAUCAUGGUGGCAUGACAAAAGAUAAGGAUCGAAGGAAUGGGAAAGAAAUAGAAAUUUCAAAGUGUUUGCUUCUCAACACACAAAAGGGAAAGUUGCCAUGAAUGGGUAUCAGAAAACACAGCCAAAAACUGAGCAUGCAUGGUUCUAUGAUGUAGUUUUUUUACCUUAAAAUAUCUCGUCCUGUUUACAACGUUGUCAAGAAUCUUUUCUCUCUCAUUUACAAUUCCAAGUUUAUUAUAUCUCAGUGUCUGCCUUCAGAAUGAUUAUUAAAUCAUCCACAUAAAACAGUCGCUAAUUUUCAUUAAUUCAUCCAAUGUUCUAGGUAAUUAAAACUGAGCCCACCAAUCAAUCAUUAUUAUAUUUCAAAUUAUAUUUUAGGUUUAAUAUAUUUUUUGCUUAAUUAAAUUUAUACUUUUCUAAAAGAAUUCGUGACUCCUUUGUGUCAUUUUUGAAAGAUAUUAUCAUCAAAAUAAAUAAUAUUUUAAAGUAUAAAAUAAUUCAAUUUUUUUGACACAUAAUAAAUUUAUAUUAUAUUAUGAUAUAUGAUAUAUUUAAAUUUUAACACAUAAUAUUUUUCAAAUGAAAUUAAUUCCAUUUAUUUCAAAUUUUAAUAUAAUUUAAUAUCAAAAUUUUAUAAAUAAAUAUAGUCAUCCUAAUUCAACUAAAAUAAAUAUAGAAAUCUUAAUUCAACUAAAAUAAAUGUUUUUUACAUAUCAAAUUAAGUUAUUUUAAUUAAUAUAUUUAAUGAUUUACAUAUUAAAAUGUCAUUUAACACAUAAAAAAUUAUAUUUAUUUAAUUUAGAAUUUAAAAAUUAAAACAUAUCCAAAAUUAAAAUAUAAAUUUUGCAUUUAAAUUUAAAAAUUACGAGGAUAUUCAAUUAAAAAAAAUGAAAUAGCAAAAUAUAAAAUUACUAUUUAUAAGGUUAUGAUUUUUAUGGGAGAAAGACAGAAAAAGAAAAUGUAAAUCGAAGUAACACCCACCAGCCAAAGAGAGAAAUAAAUCAUAGCCCCAUUUUUCUGUCACAUCACAUCACGUGCUGAGAGACCAUUGAAUCGAAUUCAAUUCCCUAAACUACACAGUUCGCAGUGUUCACAAUCACAAGUUAUGGCAGCUUGGAGGAUCGUACCUUCUAACUUUCUCUAGCACAGGAAUAAAAAAAAUAAAAUAUAGAUUUAAACCUAUUUUUGUCUUUAAUUUAAUUUAUAAGUGGAUAUUCAGUUUAGUUCUCGUUUGUAAAAUAUAAAUUUUUGAUUCUUAAAUUAUAAAAAAAUGUAUCAAAUGAGUCUUUUUUUAACUUGAAAUACUGUUUUUGAUUGUAUCUUAAUAACCGCUACAUCUUUAGAUUAUUCUGAUUUAUUUCUUAAUAAUAACAACACUUUAGAUUAUUCUUUGUACUUUAACCAUGAACAUCAAAAAAGGACUCAUUUGAUAUAUUUUUUUAUAACUUAUGAAUCAAAGGUUUACAUUUUAAAGAAGGGAGACUAAACUGAACAUACGCUCAUAACUUAAGGACCAAAAAGAAGUUUAAACUUAAAAUAUAAUAAUAUUUUUACAACAUUUUAAUAUUAUUUACAUGUUAUUUCGUGAUUGAUCUAAAAUUAGUCUAUAAAACUAUUAUAAAUCAAUAAUAAAAUAACACAUAAUCAGUAUUAAAAUAUUAUCGGUAAAAAGUAUCAUUGUGCAGAAAUAAAAACCUUUGUACUUACUUUCUUUACAUGUCUGAAGUUUCAACCCGUCAACAUACAUUGUUCUCGCAGAUCAAAUAAAUAGAACUAUAAAAUUCCAAUAACUUAAAGACAUGCAUUUCUCUGUCUCCCCUGUUUUUAUCAGAUUUCCAAAAUCACUUCCAUAUCGUAGCUGCAAACGUGCUUCCGGAAGAACCAUCAGUGAAACAUAACCAUGCAUUCAUGCUUCAGAACAAACACACUAACAUUACUUUUUCUUCUUCAUGUUUAUCAUUCUCCUUUACAAUGUAAUGUCGUGUAAUGAGAAAUAAUAUUACGAUGGGAUGUGAUGAUGUACAAUUAUUUAUAAUCUGCAACUCUUUUAGUACCAUAAUUUGGUGUUACGAAGCAUCACGACAACAUGCGAAGCCUAUGCCUACCAUUUUCCACUUUAGUAAACAUGGCUUAAAUUUUUUAAUAAUAAAAGAAAACCUCAAAGCUGUGUCGUUUUCACCAGAAGCACUUUUAUUUUUUUUUUUACCUUACGUGACGUAGACUUUUUCGACGAUAAACCUAGCUAUUAUUAUAAUAAUGAUAGUGAAAAAUAAAUAAAUAAUAAUAAAAAGAAUAAUAAGGUUUACCGUUUUACGUUGUGGAUGACGACCUAAGAAGUCGUUUUGUAAGGUGUGAGGUUGACGACGGUCUCUGAGAACGGGUGGCGCGUUUCAACGGUUCGACCACCGAGUCUCUGAACCGGUACGGUAACGCUUGGUUCCUCCCUCGCUUGGACCGGACCACCGGUUCUCUGUCCUCCAAAACGUCGCCGUAUAUAUCAACAACCACCCACCUUUCUUUCCGCUUCUCUUUAUUCGCUCUCUGAGUCGUUGACUCGGUACCGAGUCCCCUUUCUUCUUCCGAGUCAGACUCGUGUUUUCCAGAGACGACUCUCGCCGCUUCUAUAAGUAAAUCGAGAAAAUUACUAUCGCAUCUCUGAAACGACGCUGUUUGAACGUCGUUAACUUCAUCGUUAAGAUUUUGGUUGUCGUGAAGUUUGUCUGAAAGUUGAAAGCUCUUGUCUGGAAAGCCUUCUUCUUGCUCUUCUUCGAUGGUGUCGGUUCUAGAAGAUUCUGAUUCCGUGAGGGAAGAGAAUCUGAGAUUCAAAUCGAUGCCAACCCCUUUGGUAGGAAAGGAGUCUUGUUGUUCUUCUGGUUGCUCUGCAGAGGGUGGAGUGGAGGAAAUUAUGUUGAGAAUCUUGAAGAAGCACAUUUGGGUCUUCGAAUAGCCGCGGCAGAAGGAAGCCAUGGGAGCAAAAAAAUAAAGUUUUAUUUUUUAUUUUUCUCAGCGCAACGGUUUUAUGGAUAGAAUUGUGAGUGAAAUUUAUGCUUUGAUGCGAGUCUUUGUUGCAGGGAAAGAGAAUUGAAAACAGAUUUAUUUGUUAGGUUUUGUUAAAAUUAUUAAAAUUAUUACCUUUUGUUGGAGAGAGAAGGUGACAAGACAACAGGAUAGUUUUCUUCUUCUUCUUCCUAAUUUUAUUAAUAUAUAUAUUAAAAAAUAAUGACAUAAAUAAUUAUUUAAAGAUUAUAAAUUUGAAGACAACAAUUAUUUAAGUAUGGCGCAAUACAUUCGUUUUAGACCAUAAAAAAAUAAAAGUCUAAAAACUAUAGUGUUAAUAUUUUUUUAUUAAAUUAAUUAUUAAAUUAUGUUUAAAAAAAGUUUCGAAACAUAUUAUUACUUUAUGUUUUGUGUAAAAAAAAUGUGUCAAACAGUAUAAAUAAUCCAAAUUCAAAUGCUAUAACGAAACGUGCUUGAAACAACAGAUAAAGUUAGGAAAAUUUGAUAAAAAACCAGAGUUUUAUAAAGUUGAAGGACUAAAUUGUACCUUAGUUUGAAAAUGAACUAAAACCAAAAUCGUCUCAAAAUAAAGGGACUAAAAACAUAUUUAACGCUUAAAUUAAUUACAAAAUUAUGUUUAAAAAAAUUGAUUUCAACAUUAAUAUACUUCUAUUAAAUUAAUUAUAAUUUCAUCUUUGAAAAUAAAAUUUAUUAAAUUAUUAUUAUUUGUUAAUUCCAUUGAUAUUAAAAAUAAUAUUCAAUAAAUAAAUUUUUUAAAUAAAUUGUAAUUUUCUUUAGAAAAAAAUAUGAUAAGUUAUUUAUUAAAUUAUAAUAAAUUUUUUUCUAUCAUUUUUAAAUAAUAUGUCAUAUAUUAAUUUCAUUCCUUGGGGGAAAAAAAUUGAUUACUAACGAGUUUUUGAUGAUGUUUUAAAAGUUUUUAAUUGUUUUUUUAUGAUGUUUCAACUGUUUUGAAGAACUAGGUUUUAAUUGAUCGUUUAAUAUGUUAAAAUGCAAUUUAGAAGAUGUUAUCUUACUAUUUUAAUCAAUGAUGUUAAAUAUAAUUGAUUAAAAGUAACAAUAAGAAGUUUUUGUAUAUAAAUAUGUAUGAUCUCAAUUAUCUAGGAAGUGUGUGGCAUGUAGAAUUUUGAUUUCUGAAGAAAGAAAGGCUAACAAACAUUCUUGAAGAAUAAAGAACCUCAACACUUGGAAAUCAAGACAAAAUGCCUUCAAGUAUGGUUGGAUGUGGUUAAGUGGUGACUUAUUCUUGUGAAAUUCAUACUUGGUGUACUGUUUUCUUUACUUUUAUGAUAAAUUUGAUUCCUUUUAUGUGUACUUGUUGUAUAAGUGAUAGAGAUAAUUGUGUGUAGCAUCACCAUAAGUAGUCAUUCUUGAUUGUUAGAGAUUAAGAUGAUAUAGGUGAACUUGUAUAUAUGUGAUAUUUGCAUCUUUAUCGUGAAAAUCCUUCCAAACUUGGAUUAUUUGGGAGAAAAUUGGAUGUAGACUCUAUUGAGUCGAACUAAUAUAAAAUCUUGUGUGAAUCUUGCUUUUAUCUCUUUACUUUUUUUUUACAUAUAUGAUUAUUUGUGAAAGUUCAUUUGAAACAGUUACAUACACUGUGUUUUUUAAGAAUUGAAAGAUCAUUUUCUUUUUUAAUCUAGUUCACCUUUCUCAUGGUUGAGGUCUAUUGGUUUUAACAAUAUUAACACUUAAAUCUCCUUACUUUCUUCUAUCAUAAAAAUCUUCUUUUCAUAGUUUUAACGUAUUACAUUCCUUAAAUCUCUCAAGUUAUCUAUAUGUAUCAAUAUUCUUAUCCAUAUUUAUGGUAUUUUUUUUUUAUAUUUAUAUAAACAUUAUUUUUAUUUUUUUGGUCGAAUUUGUAUUAUGAUUAAAAAUGUGUUUUUUUUAUUCAAUUUUAUGGUUUCGCACUUUUUAGUUUAUAGAUUUUGUUGUCUUAUUUUUCUAUAGGGAGUUGUUGGUACAACGAAAUUUUUGAUGUCUUUUUUGUACAAAAUUUAAUCAACAAAGUUUAUUCAAUCAAAUUAAGAUAUGAAAGACACUUGUUAAAUCAUUAUUUCAAUUUAUGUUUGAGAUUUAAAUUAUUUUCAAACAGAUUUAUUAUUUUUUCUUACCUUCUUAUAAAUGUAUUAAAUGAGCCUAAUGUUUUGUUAGUACGUUAUUUUGAAUAACUUAAUGGUUAUUAUAACAUUCCAAAUUAUUACACUUAAACAAAAACGUAAUAAUUUCUUUACAUUAAACAAUAAAAUUCUGAAACCAAAAUUCCUAUUCUAAGUCUUAGUUCCAUCUCUUCCUAGCACUCGCUCACCACUCACAUCUCUAUAAGCUCACAUUUUUAGGCGAUUAUUGCAAAAGAGAAAAAAAAAAUAUAUAAACAAAUAAAAAUAGUAAGUGUAAGCUAAUAUCAAAAUAAUAAAGCAUGAAAUUCAUAAAUUAGCAUAUAAUAUAUUUCAAUUUCAAACUAGACACAACAUCUAAGCAUAUCAUAAAAGAAAAUUUUUUAGACUUGACCCUAAGGAUACAUGUAUCAUUGUCGAGCUAUGACGAGUUGUGCACUUGUAGUAGCCUUUACUGCUCUAUAGAGCCAUUGUCAAUGGAUUUCAUCCUAUCACACACAAUGUUAGUCCAUUAAAUGCCUUAGGCCAAGGUAAAACUCCUAGACUAGGACAUUUUUGCUACUUUCGUCACACGCAUCACCCUCUCUACUUGAUAAUGAAGGACCAUCAAAGUGUCAGGAUAAUCCCCAAGACCAAGCUCAUAUAAUAAUACAUAUACUACUUGAAACAACCAUCAAGAAAUCCCCCAUUGGAAACUCUCUUCCAAACCAUACUUAACCACAUACAUAGCCUCAAGUAUAAAACAUCAUAUAAUUUGAUAAAUAUUACAAAACAAUCAUUAAAUAAAUUUCCGUUCAUAAGAAACAGAGGAGAAGAAAACAAAAACCAAACCUGCAUACAGGGCGUCAAACGCCAUAAUUGUGACACUCAACACCAGACCAUGCUCGCCAAGCGAGCUCACCCAACGACUAGCAAGAACGCAAACAAAAAGUUCUCUAAGUCCAACUAGAACUCUCGCCCAUCCCCUAAAAUACAACCAUCUUUCACUAUUAACUUGUCGAAUGAACCUAAACUCGCCUAAUACCUAAAACCCUCUGAAAAAUCAGUGCUCAAUACCAAAAGGAAGCGCUCAGCGCCUUGGAGCCUAGUGACUCACUAUUUUGACAGUGUUGAGUGCAACACAAAUUCGUUCAACGCCAUACCAAAUUGUAACAACUUGUUUUUUUUUUAAUUGUUUACGACUUGAACCUAUCCAAAUGUCCAAUAUAGUUUCUUUGUCAGUUGGAUUGAUGCAAAAAUUGAUAAGUAUUUUCUUAAUGAUUUUAGCUUGGUAUUUGUUUAGUUAUUUAUGAUGUUUCCUCUCCUUUUCACAUCAAAUCAUUUUUGUUUUUAUAAAGAUUCCCUUCAUAAAUAUAUGAGUGUUUGUCAUUUUUUAUUAAUAUAUAAAUAAAUUUUAAUAUAUAAUUUAAACAAAAUUAUAAAAUUAAAAAAAUUACAAAUUUUGAAAAUAGUGACUUUUAGGCUAAAACGGAUUGAUAGUAAAUGGUGCUGAAUAUUAAAACUAAAUUUUACAAAUUUAAUAAAAGUUUAAAAAAACUGAAAUUGUUUUAUAUAAAAUAUUUCAAAAUAACAGUUACUUUAAAAAAAAUCAACAAUUAUACAUUUUUUAAAAUUAAAUAAUAAUUUUAUUAUAUAAAUAAAAUAAAAGUGAAAAAGUAUUAUUUAUUACUGCAUGUGUAUUUUGUGAUUGCAUCACAAAACAUUUAGGAUUUAAUUUAUUUUAUAGAUAAUGAUACUUAGAUAAUAUCUUUUUAUACAAUAUUUAAACAUCAUUUACAUGACAUUCUCUGAUUGAUUCAAAAUUAUUUCAUAAUCAAUAAUAAUAAUAACUAUAAAUACCAUCAUAAAUCAAUCACAAAAUGACAUGUAAGUACCCUUAAAUGUUGUUAAAAAAAUGUUAUUUAAGUAUAUUAUUUAAGAUUUAAGUUAUUUUAUUUUGUGGUUCAAAAUGUUGUUUGAGAUGUGAUGUAAUGUAAUGAGUGUCACAUUGUGCACUUGAGGAAGGUUGUCGGAGAGGGUAAUUGGACUGAGACAAAGGUGUCAUGAAAUAUGACACGUGGCAAACUGGGAUUACUGAAAAAAAUGGACAAAGAGUCUGAAACUGGGCUUGGCCCCCCUGCAUGCUGUGUGCAAAUAAUACUUCUUUCUUCUCUCUCUCUUUUCUGAACUCUUAUGUUAUGCGUCAGUCUAAUGACAACCACAUUCACUACCAUCAGAGUCAACAUCAUCAUCGUAACCCUUUAACCCUUCUAUUUACUCUAUUUACUUAAGGUAAUCAUAAUUUAACAUUAAUAUUUGACAAUAUUUUAAAACUCAAAACUAUUAUUUAUUAAGUUUAGAAUACAUGAACAUAAUUAAAAAUAAAUAAUAAAUUAGUAAAAACAUAUAUAUAUAUAUAUAUAUAUUUAUUUAUUGUGUUAAAAUGUUAUUAAAAAAUCUAUAUUAAAAUAUUUUAUUUAUUUAUAAAUAAUGUAAAUUUUAUUUUAAUAGAAUGAAACUACUAAAAUAAAACGUUACAUAGAUUAUUACUUAUAAGAAAUUUGAUAUUACUAGAGAAGGAGAUUCUACAUGUGAAGGACGGAUUUAUUUAUGUUGUUACUUCAUCCUUGUUCUUGCAUUGAGACAACUAAAAAGAUUUUCACUCUCCGAUAUCACAUUAUUUAAUGUGAUCAUUGUAAAAGAGAAAACAUAUACAAAUAAACAAAGACAAAAACAAGGUAAGAAUUCAAUACCAUUUACAAUUUCAACCCAGGUAAUCAAACAUUUUGGAACACAUGGUAAACAUAGACUUGAUUCAUCAGGAUAUGGUAUGAAUGUCGAGUUACAGAGAUUCCUACACCUGUGUGGUGGAACAACCGGACCACCCCAAGUUACCACACAAUGUUAGUCCUUUAAACACCCAUUGUCAACUAAAGAAAACCCCAUACUAGGACCUCCUGCUAUUCUUACGACAUGACUUAUUACUCUCUAAUUGAGCAUGGAUGAUCAUUAGAAUGUCAAGAUAAACCUCAGCUUAACUCCGACCAUUCAUAUUAACAACACUUGAAACCACCAUUAAGAAUUUCACCUUAUAAAUUCUUUUCAAACCACACUUUACUUCAAUCAGAACCUUAUUCAUAGACCAUUCAAACAUUUCAUAUAUUAUACCAAACACAUAUUAAAUCAUCAAUGUAAUCAUUAUUCACAAAAACAUAAAACAAAGAAACUCAAAACUCACCAAAGGAACAUGGCGCGCAACACCAGAAAACUACCACUUUAGUUUUAGAAAACUACCCCACCAGUCCUAGAAAACUACCCCUCAGUGUCAGAAAACUACCACUUAGCACUAGAGCCACUAGAAUGCGGUACUCAACACCAGAAAACUACCCCUUAACGUCAUAUCAGUUGACAACAACUAGCUUUCUAGUUUUAUUGCACUUGUGACUCAUUUCCAAGAGAUCAAAUGUGUUUUCUAAACACUGGAAUUUGUGCUAAAACAUGUUUAUAGUUGAAAUGGAGUACCACUUUGCUCAUUAGACCCGAGACUAGGUGCAUUAAACCAUUUGACAUCUCCAAAAUUACCCAAACUCAAUUCUACACUUUCUAACACCAAAUUUUGCAAACUAAAGGUGUUAACAAGUCAUAAUGGACUUAAUAACAUACCUCGACGCCUCAUAUUCAUCACAACCUUUAUACUUUAAGUUUUCACUAGUUAGAACCUCCAAUUUAAACUAAAACGCGACAAAAUAACAAUCUAAGAACCAUGUAUCAACUCCACCUCAGAUUUGGCCUAACUUGAACACUUAAACAAGUCCUAAAUGACUUAAGAACUGAUCCCACAGUACCGGUUUUCCCAUUUAACUAUUUUCUCUAGAACCCAACUGCCAAAACCCCUAAAAAUACACUUUAAGCAACAUUGUAACACACCAAAAUGACUACCAUCCCAUUCUAAACCACUUAUGAAUUGAUUCUCAUCCUAAAGUUAUAAAAGACCAAAUUAACUAUCCCAAACCAUAAAUCCUCACCUUAAACCAAUAUUUCUUUAAAUAACCUCUCAAACCUUCAUUUUAGACCAAAAUUGACCUAUAAUUCUACUCAUACCUUUCCCUUUAACAUUUUAAUCAAAAUUAACACCAAUAACACUACUCCAAUUGCAUUCACAAACUUACUCCAGCUUCACAUUGAAAUUACAUAAAUGAUCAAGCAUCAAUCAUCCAUUAUUCUCUAUCAAACACAAUUAACUCCAAUACAAACAUUUUAUACAUAGUCAACCAUAUAUACAACAACAUACAUACUCACAAUCACAAUUUCAUACAUUAUAAUUCAAUUUAAAUAUAAACACUAACUUUUUUUUAAUCUUUUUAAAAGACUAAACUGUUCUAAAAGACCCUAUACCGCUUUCACAGCUCGAAGAGUUGUAUUUACAUUUAUAGACAACAUAAUCUUAAUAAAAAAGAGUUAUUAUUACCAUUGAUAAGUAAAGAACUUAAAAGAAUACUUAAAUCAUGCAUGUGACAGAAUCAAACAUCACAUGCAUUGAAAGAAUCCUUAGAUAAUCAUAAUUAUAAUUGUAUGUAAAAACAUAUUUACAUUUAAAUAAUUAUAAAAAAUUAAACUUUUAUAUUUUUAAAAAUAGAAAGAGAAUAUCAAAUAAAUAUAAAAAUUUAAAUGUAUUAAAAGAUGAUUUAUGAUACAAGGCAUGUUUCAAUUCAAUCUAAUGUCUCAUAGAGAUUGAACAAUCCAAAAGUGAAAUAUAUAAAUUUUUUAUUUGAUACACAAAUUAAUUUUCACUUAUAAUUUUUGUAGUUAUUAAAAAGAAGACAUCCAAGCAUACAGUAAAAAAGUACUACUGCAUCAACAUUCACUUGUUAUUGAUGUUCAAGAAAGGAAUUGAAGAGAGAAUGGAGAAGGUGGUUAGAGUAGGGAACAUAACACAAAUGUGGUGGAGCCUACUUUCUUUAUGCAAGAGAAUGAACCUUUUUAUUUCACUUAAUUUAAAAAAAAAAAUUAUUUAGUAUAAAAUUAGUAAAAAAAUUAUUCUUAUUAUUUUAUACCAGUAAAAACAUAUAUACGAUAUGUGUAGUUAUGUAUAUGUAUACUCUCUUUUCUUUUAUAACAAAAUAUAAUAAAGUUAUAAUUAUAAAAAUAAAUAUAAAUAAAUUAUACAAUUUAAUUAUAUAUAAUUUUUAUUUAUUUUAUAAAUAAUUUUAUUUAUUCAAUUUAGAAAAAUAAUUAAAUUAAAAAAUAUUUAAUUUAAAUAAAACGAUAAUUUAAAAAUAAAAAUGAAAAAAAUGUAGACAAAAUAAAUUCCUUAAAGUUAUAAAUAAUUUGAAAUAUAUGUACUUGAAAAUGAUUAAAAAGAAAGACAAAUGAAAAAGUAGAAAAAAGUCAUACACUAUAUCACGUGUUAUUUUACUUUUUCUGUUUUAAAUAAUAAAAUUCUCACCUUCAUAUUUUUCUGCGAUUGGCAUUAUUAUUCUAUCUAAUUUUUAGUUAUACAAGCUUAUACAGAGACAAAGUUGAGUUUCAAGAGUAAAUUAUACAGACAAUUUUUUUUUUUAAACUUCUAAUAAUGAUAUUUCUCAGUUUUUCUUAAAAAACUUUACACAUUUUUUUAAUAUUAUAUAGACAAAUCAUUUUAAGUUUUAAAAAUAUCAUGCUUACAAACUGCUGAAAAGAAAAUCAUUAUCCUUAUAAAAUAGGUGAAUAUGAAUUUAGAUAAUAUACUGAAGUGUAAUUAUAAUUUACCCUUUCUUCAAUAUUCAUUGUAUGAUUCUAGACUUCUAAUGAGAACUGAUAUUAUUUAUAUUGAAAACACAUGAAUUGGUCUGCAUUUUGUCAUGUUAUAAAAAUGUGAAGAAAUUUUUGUUUAUAAACAUUUUUGUUUAAUCUUCAUAAUAACCCCAUUAAUACACAAACAGAAGAAAUACAGAAUAGAAGAAAAAAAUACACGUUGAAAAGGAUAAAAGACAACUCACUUUAGAUAAAUAGGCUAUGUAAUUUAUUUAUACAAAAAAUAAAAAAACAACUAAAUACAUAUAUUAUUGGAAGUGUAAUGUUACAGAGAAAUCUUAAUUUUAUUUUCUUUUUCUCUUUUUAUCACAUAAUAUAAUCAUUUAAUAUAUAAACAUAUCAUUUUUAUUCUGUGUUAAAAUAUCUAUUUAAUAUCCAUUAAUAUUUUUGUUGUAAGAAUGUGACAUUAAUUUUGUAAAUCUCAUUUUAUAAUUUGGUUUGAUAGAGUUGAGUUAGAUUUAAAACUCAUUCUUUAACAUAAUAUCACAAUCAUGAUUAAAGUCUAUUUUAGUGAUAUUUUUUUGAACAUUUCUAUUCCAUUCAUUCUCAGACUGAUAUUAGACCACUCCAUUAAUUAUAUUCUCACGCUUGAGAUAUCUAUACGUUAACGUGAAGAAGAUAUAUUGAAAGUUCAGCACUAACUAGAAAUAAAACCAAUUAAUAAUAUAUAAGUGAAAAACAAAUCUUCUUAUAAACCGGUUUCGUGAGAAUGAAAACUUUUUAAUAAAUGUAUAUAUUAUAAUUGACGUUACUGUUUUAUAAGAUGUUAUACUGUUUUUGAUAUGACAUGUUAUGGACUGGAAUUGAUUCAGUGGUGGUUGGCAAACAAAGUUAAUCAUAGCAUACAAGAAUCAAGGUAGAAGGUUGUUGAACUUUAACUUUCCACCUUUAAUUUUUCAAGUACUACUAUUACUAUUAUUUGUAUUUUCCAUUUCAUAGACUCAUAGCUGCUAAAUAGUAUACUUAUUUUAAGGGAAAUAGUAAUUUCACGUAUAAAUUUUUACAUUUAUUUGAUUUUUUUAUAACUAUUUUUUUUAAUAUGAGUUAUCAUUAUUUUUAUUUUAAAGGAUUAAGGGAUGAAGAUAACUAUUUCAAAUGGGAGAAUAUAUUAUCUUGAGGUUUUUUAUUCUUUCUAGUUGUAAGAAUAUGUCUAAGUUACAUCAAAUUUAAAAAUACUCUCUAUGUUCUAAUUAAUUUUAAAUCGGUCUUAUUUUACCAUUUUUCAUUUAAAAAUAUCUACAUUUUAGCUAACAUAACCAGAUUUAUUUAUUUUUCAGAAACAUGAUGAAAAACACCAGUUAUUUCGAUCGUUUCUUCCAGUUACUUAAAUUUAAAAAAAAAAAAAGAAUAAAAAAAUCAAUUGUAUUGUGUAAUAGAUGUAGUUGUACGUAACUGGGACAUUGUGGAUAAUCUGCGAAACUUCCUCUCUGCGUAAUGUUGUUUUUGGAUAACUUAAAUAUUAAUUCCUUAUCCUAAGAUAGUAUAUGUCUCAUGAAACCACCUAACUAUUAUCAUUUUCUGUAGUGGUGGAGCAUCUAAUUGCAGAUGAUCUAGUAGUAAUAAUAAUAAUUUAUCAUUUAGUUAGGAUUUUACAGAAAAUUUAUUUAUUUUCUCUUAUUUUAAAAGGUGACAUAUAUGCAUUAUUUAUUUAUGAUGCUAUAAUAUGUCUGUGUCACUAAAAUUUAUUGAAUCUAUGUUACUACUUUCUAAUAUGAGAUUUGUUUUUUAUUUUUUUAACUUCUAUUAAUAUAUGUUAUUUAUUCUUGUAUAUUUUUUUCUUCUUUUAUCUAAUAAAUUGGAAUUAAGAAUUUAGAGUCAAUGAGAUCUGGACUAUGGAGUUGAAGUCAAUUGUCUAUUAUUUUAUAAGUUGAAAAAUGUUUUACUGUUUAUUCUUAUAUUAUUGUUGUUGUUUUUUUUCUUUGUAUUGUGAGGUUGGCUCCAAAAAAUAUUCUAAUAUCAAAGUCAAUAAACUUAGAAUCUAAAACAAUUAAAUAUUAUCAUCAAUCUUUCUACUUCAAAUAUUUAUUUAUAGAUGUUGAAAUGAACUUUAGAUUAACAAGGAUCCAAUUGAUAAUAAUAAUAAUAUUUUAUCCAAAGUUAAUUAGUUGUUUGAAAUAAAUUUUUGGUAACUUCUUUAUUAAACUAGUUGAUUUAGUCGCAUAAUCAUAGAAAUGACUUAUGAUUACGUUGUAGCGUAUUUUAACAUGUAUGACGAUAUGAUUCAUAACUGGUAAAACAGUUAGACGAUUAGACUUUACAAAUAAUCUAUUUGAUAUCAUUUGUUCACAAUAGAAUAUUUUAGAAAUAUAGAUAUGACAAUAAAGAUCGAGAAGUUGAAAAAAAUAAUAAUAAUUUGGUUAAACCUCUUUAAUUGUCCCUAUUUUUGUGGAUUUUUCCCAGUUCGAUCCCCAUUUUAUUAGAAUCUCCAAUUUAGUCCUAAAAAAUAUUAAUUUGAGUCAAUUGGGCCCCUACCGUUAAAUUGGCUUAACAAGGUUAAGUUUUUUAUGAGUUAGGACAUUGACGUGGCCAAUUUUUGCCACAUCACUCCUGCCACGUCAGCGUCAUCUUCCCCAAAAGUAUAAACCUAAUAGAGAUUUCAGAAUGGGAUUUAGGGUGGCUGCACGAUUUGGUGAUAACGACAUUGGAGCACUGUGUGUGGAGGAAUCUCGCAAUGGAAGAGGAACUCGCAUCUUAGGGUGGUUGCGCGAUUUGGUGAUAAAGGCACUGGAGUGCUUCUGCAUUGCGGUGGAGGGGUGGUUGUUCGUUUUUGAGGUGUGUUUCUGGAUGAGGGGAGAACUCGCGGUGGAGGUUGAACUCCGUAGAGGGGAUUGCGAUUAGGGUUCUUAGCAUCCAGUUCGUAAGAGGAUUGAUAUUUUGUAAGUUCCUGGAUCGUGGUAGUAUGAUAACACUCACGGUGGCUGCUUGAACGUUUGUUGGCUUGGUGAUGUUUGAACGACGACGAGGGAGGUUAUGCGAUUUUGGAUUUCUUGGCUGAUUGAUUUUCUGACUCGCAGUGGUAAAUGGUUUCACAAUGGUGAAAUUGUUUCAAAGAAGAAACAAUGGUGGAAGGAGAUGAAGGUGUUGUGGCGGUUCAGGGAUGGCAUGAAUCACGACCAUGAAUAUGGGAUCUCUUUAGUUGUUGAAGGUGGUGACGAAUGAUGGGUUUUUGUGUUGUGCAACGGCGACUUUGAGGUGGUGCAACGAAGGCGAUACUAGCAUUCUCACGGUGGUUUCACGGUUGCGGUGCAACAAGGUGGUGACGACAAGAUUGAAGGCUUCACAACGACUUUAUGGCGGCAACGCUAGGGUUUGCUCGAGGCGGCUAGAGUUUCACUCUUGAGGGAAAUUAGGGUUCGUACUGUUAGGGAAGAUGACACUGAUGUGGCAGGAGUGAUGUGGCAAAAACUAGCCACGUCAACGUCCCAACUCAUAAAAAACUUAACCUCGUUAAGCUUAUUUAACGGUAGGAGCCCAAUUGACUCAAAUUAGCAUUUCGUAGGACUAAAUUGAGAAUUCUAAUAAAACGGGGAUCGAACUGGGAAAAACCUAUAAAAUAGGGACAACUAAAGGAGUUUAACCUAAUAAUUUCAAAUAUAUAUGUUACAAAAGUUCUAUUGUUCUCUUUCACCAUCACAUGCGAGUUUGAUGAGUUCUUUAACCAUGGGAAAUUUAAUCCACUGUUUAAUCAUUAAUUUUUCUUUACAACCACAAUAUAUAUUAUGUAUAGGUUUAAUACCUAUUUUGGUUCCUCGGUUUGUAGGAUGCGGUCAAAGUUGUCCUCCUUUUUUUUCAAAAGUUCACAAUUGUUAUAUAUUUUGCAAAAGCAAUUCAAGUUGAUCCUUUUCGCUUACAGCGUUAAAAAACUAACGACAAAGUUUUUCUCCUUGCCAAAAUUAAAUGACCUGAAUUAAUCCAAUUAGUUGAAAAACUCAGCCAACAAGAGACUGCCACACGACAAUCCUUUUUCCACUCAAACCUUAAUCCUUUUUCCCUUUCUCUGUUCAACGUUGAGGUUCCCAAAUUGUCGCCUCCCUAUGUGCCUUCACUCUCUCCACUACUGUGUCGCGCCCCAUCUACCGCCCUUCUACACUAUCACCACACACCAGCUCACAUUCACUCCCAUCGCACCCAACACACGGUAGUCCCUCUCCCAUCCGUAGUAGAUGGAGCAUCAGGUAUUCUCAACAAGACACUGCUCCGUGCUCAGGAUCCACCUCAUUUGGUUUUUUUUAUCACAUUGAAUACAAGCCUGCACCAACCAUGAAGACCAACCUACAACCCCAAAAACCAGGCUUUGAUGACCCUGCCCCUACCGUCUCCACUUUCAAACUCAUCUGUGACCAACUCAACAACCUCAAGGCUAAGUCAAACCCAACAUGGUAUGCUGCCAGCAGAAUCCACAAUGCAUUAAUGUGAAAGGACAACAAAUAUUUGAGAUCAAGUCUUCAUUAUUUAAUGCUACAGCCUGAUCUAAAAGCACUUGUUUGUGGAUCGUAUACUUUGGGUGUCCCAACCCUGGCAUAACUAGUUGGGUAAUGUUAGCAAAAUGAUGAAGAUGAAGUUUUGAUGAUGUCCAAAUCAAGUCAAGAGAAAUGAAGAUUCAAAAAGAUCCUUUGAAGAUUUGUUUUGCAAUGGAUAACUUUUAUAAUAAUUGUGGUUUAUUGUCUAGGACUUAAAUUUUUAUUGGUUUUGAUUCCAUGUAGUUUCAUACUUUAUAAUUGAUGUCCAAAGACAAAAUCGCAUUGUUUUAAUAGAUUAAAACUAGUAUUAAUCGAUUAAAACGAGUAAAAGUUGAAAACUCAACUUUCUCUGUUUUAAUAGAUUAAAAUACAUUUUAAUCUAUUAGCUAAUCGAUUAAAAUACAUUUUAAUCGAUUAAAGCUGACCGUUGAAGUUUUCUAGCUUUUGAAAACUAGUCGUUGCACUUAUUUUAAUCGAUUAACAGUAAUAUUAAUCAAUUAAAAGCGUAAAAUGACCAAUUACGAAGAAUGAAAGAGUAUUUGCUUGAGUCUAUAGAUAGACUCUCUUUAUCCAUCAUCAACAACUCUUUCCUUGAGCUAAAAUACUCAAAACUCUUUGAGAAUUGUGUGCUCUUGCUCAGCUAAGGAAACUUUUGUAUGUGGUGCCGGUACAUUGCUACUAUGGUGACAGAGGAAUAGCUAGUUCGUCCUUAGUGCAUUUUUGCAAAAUAUAGGACGAUUGUGAACUUUAAAAAAAUGAGGACAACUUUGAACAAACCCUACAAAGUGAGGGACCAAAAUAGGUAUUAAACCUUGUGUAUACUACUAAUAAUAAAGAAGACUCAAUGUACAAUUUUUUUUUCAUAUUUAUUUUUUCAAUAAUUACUUUUCUAAAUUUAAAUAAUUAUUUAUAAUAAAAAUAUUAUUUUUCAACUUUACCUUUUUAAUAACUAUUAUUUUAAUUAAAAUCAUUAUUCUUAAUAAAAUUUAUAAAAAUUAUUUUACAAUUUAUUAAUAUUUUUAUUUUAAUAAUUAAAAAUCAUUUUAUAGUUCAAUAAAAAAUAUAUAAUAAAAAAAACUUGAAACACUUAGUACAUAUAAAGAAUAUAAAUUCUAAAUAUUAACAAUUGUUUUUUUCAAUUUGAUUAACAUUCUAAAACUUAAAAUUUAAACCUUACCCGUCCAAGCCCAACACGCUGUCCACAAAGUCAAUUUCUUCCUCCGUAUAUUUCUUUCUGCACUCCUAUCUAAACAAAUUUUCUUCUUGCAAUCUUUUUUAUGAAAUUUAGAAUUAAAAGAUAUUUCUAAAUUAUACAAUCCGAAAAAUAAAAGUAACUUUCAAAUCGAAUAAUUUAAAAAAUAUUUUAUUUUUCUAAAAUGGACUUUUUGAAGAUUUUAAAAUCGAAAAUAAUUUAACUUUCAAAUUAGAUGCCCUCAUGCCAAGUCUAAUAACUUUCAAACUGUGAAAUUCAAAAUCAAAUAAUUUUGUAUAAUCUAAUUUCUUUUUAAUCUUCCUUAAUUUUUAGAAUCUAUUUUUAUUUUUUAAUUCUACAUUCUAAAAAUAGUUUUGACUUCAAGAUUAACCUAGAAAGUAUUGAUGAUAUUUACUUAAUAUAUUUUUUUAUUUAAAUUAGUUCUUAGGAAAGAUUUCAGUUUUCCUUCUUAGAAAUUAUUUAUUAUUUUAGAUUAAGAUUGAAAUAUUGUAAAUAUUCUAUAUUUCUUGUUCAGUGACAUUUUUCUUUAUAUAUAUAUAUAUAUAUAUAUAUAUAUAUAUAUAUAUAUAUAUAAUUGCAUAUAUGUCACUAAUUUUUAAAUUUAAGUAAAAAUUAAUUUUGAUGUUAUAAAUAAAGCCAUUGAAUAAUUUUUGUAUGGCAUAGGUAAUAUUCAGGAAAUUAGUCUAAAUAAACCUAUUGUAAUAAAAUAAAAAUUACAAAACAUAUCUACUUAACAAAGUUUUUACAACUUAAAACCAUUUUUAUGAUGGGUUCAAAUUUUGUUAGAAAUUACUAAUUUUAAUAACCCUUACUCCUAAUGAGGAGAAAGAGUAAAAUGAUACUCGUUAAAAUAGUCUGUUUUCAAUAUAUCUCACCCAAUCAUAAAAUAAGUUUUGAAAACUAACAAUUAAAGAGAGGAUAAUUUUACUAGUAAGUUGAUAAAUUAAGUGGUAAACGUAAUUAUUGUACAUAAAUUCUUCAAAAUAAUGAUGUAUUACUAUCUUAUAUUUAAUUCAGAAAUCUAAUUGUGAAUUGAAAGUCUCAUGUUAAAAAAAAAAAAGUCAUAAAAAAACAAAUUCAUAAAGAUUGAUCAUUGAAAAUAACAUUAAAUAUUUUGUAUAAACAACUCGUAUUUUAAAAAUUUAGCAACAUAUGUAAUAUAAAGGUCACCAUGAUUGAUGCAUUUGAAAUAGAAGAUAUUCCAUUUUUCAUAGAGCACAUGGUUUUGCAAAAGAUAAAGAAAUUGUUGCUCUACUUUUGAACUUAAGAGUCAAUGGGUCCCGUUUGCCUUUUCCAUGUAAUUAAUGGAUUAUUAGACUAAAAGAGUAAAUCAUAUGCUUCUUUCAAAUUUGGGUGUUUCUGAAUUUAAUUGUAGUUAGAUGAUGGUCACAUUUGUCAUUUCUAUGUAAUUGGUGGAGUGUUAUUUAGAAUGCUAAAUCAUGCUUCUAAUUUUAAGGAUUUAAUACAUUUUUAAAAGAUGUUUUGUUCCAUAUAUUUAUUUUAUCCACAUCUCAACUCCAAAAAAUUAUUGUAUUUAUCACUUUAUUUUGUUUAUCUUUUGCAUUUUGAUUAGUAUACCAUAUAAUUGUUUAAUUAAUUAUAGAUUGGACGACUAGUUGUCAUUAAGAUACACAAAUAAACCAUCACCAAAAUUGGAGAUUCAGACAGAUUAAUCGAUGGUUAAAAUGAUUAAUUUUAAUGCUGAACAGGAUAAAAUGUGAUUAACAAUAAUUAGACUAUAAUAGGUCGUUGUUAAUUAAAAACUCAUUCUAAAAUCUCUAAAUAUAGGUAAACUCACUCUAAAAUAUCUAAAUAUAGGCUAAGGCAAAGAGGAAGGUGAUUUGCAUUUACUACGCCAUUAAUAUUUGAACUGCCAAAUGUUAAAUUAACUUUGACAUUUAAGUAUCUUUUAUAGGUACCCUCCUAACUGUCUAAACGAAAUUAAAAACAGUAUUGAAACGUUAACAAUUUACUGAAUAUUAAAUGAUUAAUCUCAAUCCUAAACAGUGAAAUAAUUACAUUAUUAAUUAGUAUUUAUUAUUGCAUUCAACAUUUUAAACCAUUAUUAGAAUAUCUUGAACCUUAUUAAAAAUUUAAAUUAGUAUAUAAUUUAUCCAAACAAAUUAAUCAUUAACCAAUAAACCAAUGAGGUGAUAUAAUUCUCCCUAUGAAUUUGAAUGAGUGAAGAGUUUCUCUUAAGACAUUCAAAUUUGAAUGAAUUUUAAUUUUUAGAUCUUUCUUUAAUUAUGAAUUGACAAGGUAACCUAAUGAUAUUUUAAUUACACAGAAAUAAAAGGAAGCAAGAAAACAUUGUGGAAGUGAUAUUCUAGAAAAAAUAGCGUAUAUUUAUAACAACUAAUUUGAAUUAUGAUUACAUUUUUAGGAGAAAUAUUGUUUGAGUUUGCAAUAUUAUAGAAUGAUGAAUUUUCUCAAACCCUAAUUAUAACACCAUUACUAAAAAAACUCUUAAUUUAUGAAAUGAAAAAAAGGAUGGAAGACCAUUUCCAAACAUAUUUGAGAAAAGGAAAACAAAGGGUUAAAAAAUUAUAAACCUAAUAUUUCCAAUGAGAACAAUGCACCAUAAAUAAUUAAUAAUCGUCAUUAACUUGGUUUUUUAACAACAUUGGAUGCUGGAUUAAUCAUGACCUAAAAUUCUCCUAGAUUUUAUGACACCACAGGAAGACAUACCUAAAUUUGUUGAAUUAUUUGUCCAACUUGGAUUCAAGAUAUUUUCCUCUUAUAAGCUUCAGUUUCUUUCAUGAUUAGAAAGAGAAGAAGAAAAUUCUUGUAUGAACUAAAACAACAUACACCUAUUAUGCCAAAAGAAAAGCCUAGAAUCAAUAAAAAAAACUAUAUAAUUAAAAUGUUAUUUUGGAAAAUCACAUAUCACAAAAUAUUGAAAUGUUAAAUCUUUUUCAUUGUUUUCUUCUAUCAAAAAAGGACACCCCUAUUAAAGAAUAGUAUCAUUAUGGCUAAUUGAAAACUAAUUAAACUCAAUUUAUUAUAUAAAAAGAUAGAAAUAAAUAGCAUCAAGUUGAGAUGGCCGAGUUGGUCUAAGGCGCCAGAUUAAGGUUCUGGUCCGAAAGGGCGUGGGUUCAAAUCCCACUCUCAACAGCUUAAAUAUUUUGAUUUCUCUUUUGGUUUAACAGGUAACAGAAAGAAAAUUAGGACCUAAUUGAUCACUUCAAAAAUUGGAAGACCCAAUUGAAACAAACCUCCAAAUAUAGGGACUUCCGAACCUAUUAAACCUUUUUUUUUUAUAUCACUUUUUGUUUUUCAAACCUAACCUUAUUAAUUGGGUUGACCCAUUAGCAUAAAUUUGUUUAAUUUUGGACCAAUUGUUACCCAACCAAGCACAUUGAUUUGAUGUUUGUCGGACCCAAUCAAACUCAUUCAACUGAAGUCUGAUGAGGGAUGGCUGAACAAUUUCUAUCUAAAUCCAACUUCUUAAACCCUUCAUUUUUAGUGGAAUUUAUUGAAAGCAUUUCGAUAUUUUAAUUAAUACAUAAUCAAUAUUAUUUUGGUGAAAAACUAGCCAAAAGAAAAGUCUCUCAUUUUUUUUUUCUCAAAACCCUCACACCAGUAAAGUGUCAUCUUGAACACCAAUUUCUAGAACAAGUUGUUAUGGUGUAUUUAGAAUACAAAAAUCUACACUAUAUCAAUUAAAUGAUGUUUUUAUUUUAUUAGAGUAAUUACAUUAAUUAUAUAGCACAAUGCAUGUAUAGAACCUAGAGAGAAAUGGGGGAAUGAGAAUGAAUGAGGAUGGAUACUGUCUAGGAUUGUUAUCCCUUUUGUCUAAAAAAAUUUGUCAUGCAUUUAAUUUUUUUUAAAUUCAAAUCUUUUAUUUAUUUUUCUAAUUUUUAAUGAAAUUAUUCAACAGACCUCUUUAAAAUAUAAAAUAAAAUAAAAAGUAUUUUUAAGUAUAAUUAAAAACUUCAUAAGAAAAUAUUAAUGUAAAUAUAUUUUAUCUUUUAAAAAACACAAAUUUUAAUAAAUUACACCAUUAAAUAUAAAUUAUUUAAAAUUAAAUAUUUUGAAAAUUAAAUUCAAUUUAAAAAGUAUAAAUACAUAAAAUUAAAAUCUAAACUAUUUUCACAUAUUUUUCCCACCAGUAAAUGCAAUCAAUGUCUUUUUAGCAACUUUAUCCAUGGAAAAUAAUAAAUUUUGGUAAAUCUUAACAUCAAGAUUGUAGAAUAACCAGGUGAAAAAGAUUAGAGGAAAAAAGAGAAAUACUUUAACAUUAAAAAAAUAAAUCUAUUGAAGAAUAAUAUGUUAAGACAAUAGUUUCUUUUUCUAAAUCCAAUUACUUAUGCAAUUAACAUAACAAACUUUACCUUCCAUUAUAAGGUUAUUAAUGAUUUGCUGUAAGACUUGUAAAAUUGUAAGAUCCUGUACAUUGUGGUAAAAUAAAUUUGUAAAUUUUAUGGGUAUUUGUUUCAUGAGAAGAACAUUUUCACAUAACUUAAAGUAAAUGCUAAUUUAGUUUUUAAACGUGUCAGGGGUUAAUUUAACGUCUAAAAUAAUAAAAGUCUAAUUUAGUUCACAAAUGUUGGUGAGUUGAUCAAAUACCACAAUUUGAUUUCCACACAAUAACUUCUCCCUAACAAAUAAUACAGAGAGAUUACAAAGAAUUCUUAAUUGAAAAAUGGUUGAAUUUACAUCAGAGGGAAGGAAGAUGAAUCGUGGAUUAAAGAGCUCCAUCAUUAUCUUGCCCAACAUCAUCCCUGCAAAGGCAAUUACGCAAUUACUUGAUUGAUGAAGCUUAUUCCAAGUUACAAUGGAGUACUGGCAAAACAAAGUGACAAUAACAGCUAUUGUAUUAAAGAAUCAACCUAUAUUCUGAAGGAUGGUGCAACUGGAUCAUCUGCAGAACUCUUAAGAAAAGCAAUGGGUGAAUUCUGGGUAUGCUUGAAGGAACCGAAACGGGCCACAAAAUUGGCCCCUGUUAAGCAUAGACCAAUUUCCGAGAGCCGGCUGAAUUCCGGUCGAACCAGCCGACCUAUUCCGAUAAAUUUGGCUGGGUCGGAGUCAACAAGACCCAUAUUCUCAUCCUUUUCAACUUGUUAGAGUGACCAAACUCAGAAUUCAUGCUUACCUCUUCAUCCAGAAAAUGCCAAGCCAAUCUUGUAGCAUCAACCCAAUGUAGCAAAGCUGUUGCAGGCAAUAGAUUUCAAUGUUUUGGCAUCUUCAGGCCUCAAAUAGGAUCAAAUUGUAGACACUACCUUAGCACUCACUCAUAGUUGGCUAAUUUGUAGUAAUAUUAAAAAAUCGGGUAACUAGCAACCUAUUGAUUAAUAUGAAUAAUGGUGAAUUUUGGCCUUCAAUUUUAUAUUGUAGAGAAAAAGGUAUAUAAUCUUCUAAACAAGCAAGCUUAUGUCCUCUGAAACAGAAUUUCAAUUUAUGUCCUCUGAAACAGAAUUUCAAAUUCAAAGUGGAGUUGUUUGCAUAUCUAACAUCUCUGAUCUUCACAAAAGCUCUUAUAUAUGCAACUUUUUUCUUAAACAGUAACAAAAUUAAUUAUAAACCUUUCAACCUUCCAGCUUUCUUAAAAUCUAAAACAUGUCUACCAUGAAAGUUGAAAAAAAUCACGGUCACAACAAAUGGUGCACCUACAACCUCCACCAGCUAAAAUUUUAAUUUAAAAACAGUAACUCAUGGCCACAUGAUAACUAACUACAUUGUUAGCCGCUUAAAUUUGCAACCAUUUUUUCCCGUUUUCCUAGUGCCCUAACCACUGACAAUCGUCUAGGUUUUCACAUAUCGAUUUCGUUAAAAAAUAUCUAAGUAAUCUCUGCCAAUAAACCGAGUCCAUACCCUUGUAUUAUAUAUGCAGAUCCUGGGAUAACAUGGGAGAAAAAUGCUCAUAAAAUAAAACUUUUUCAGCAACAUGUCACAUUGAAACUUGAAAUUCAACAUACAGUGUCAGAAACACAUUGAGUUCGACACUUAAAAUAAUUAUUUGUUCAAAAACACAAAUGGAAAAAGGAAAUCAAAAUCGAACAAUGAAACGAACCUGGAUGAGAAGACCCUGAAAGCAUGAUUUUCAGCAAGGGUGGGUUCAUCAUCCACCAGUGAGUUCCCCACCCCAGAUCACAGAAACUUUGUCCAAAUUACAGAAUGAGGAACGUGAUCUCCAAUACCAUGCAACAUGCACUUUCAACUGCUGAAAAACCAUGUGGGUUGUGUUCCUGCAAGUACAUACGCUACGCAUCAGCACACAUGAAGCAAAUGAGCAUAGAUCAAUAUGAUCUCAAGAACAAAAAAAA